CAAGAGUACCUCCAGAAUGUAACGAGCCAUCCACAACUCAUCUGCUGCUGAGAUACCUACAGCAGGUCCAACUUGAAACUCCCACUAUUAAACACAAAGAAAGGUUUGAGUUUCAACAAUACUUAAGAGUAACAAUGGAAUUCCAUAUUUUAUUUUUAUUUUUCGGUAUGUGUAGAUUGUGGUUGGUUUAUAAUUACUAAAAAACAUUCAGAGUAAAACAAGAAAUCGUCCAAAAGGUUGAACUGACCUGUCCUGGCACAACUUCUCCGUUGAUGCCACUUAUGUUGAUGCCAGCAUAGAGACAUGCUUUAUAAUGAGCAUCAACAAUGUCCCUCCCAAAGGCUUUGUCUGCACCAACCCCACAGUAGUAUGGUCCCUGAAAAGUUUUUCGCUUCAAUGUAUCAAGAUGAUACUUACCAACAAGAAUCAAUAUACACACACACACACACACAAAUAACAGAUAAAAGUCUGCUGGAAAUGCAAAAAAUGGAAAGGAAACUUUAGCAAAUUACUAUAAUAUAAGAAAAUGGGAUAAGUAGCUUCGAAUAUAGCUUAAAUCUUAUGCAACAAGAAUUCUUUAGAACUUGGAAGUCCAAAAUCAAGUGUGUGUAAUAAAAGGAAUCUCUUACAUUUCACACACUUCCAAUUUUCUAUUGUUCAAAUGUAAAUCAUAUUAUUAAAGAAGAAGUUGCAAGUUUAUACCUUGUUCAGAAGUGUUUCCACGUUCUGUUUUCACAUACUGUUUUGUAAUAUAUUUUUCAAGAUUUUCAACAUUUGUUAAAUAUUUUGUUUACCUUGCUUUUUUGCUUUUAAUUUUAGUAAAUCAAUUGCAAGUCACCUAUUUUUGUUGGACAUAAUUCUAAAUCAUAUAUUCCCUCUGUUCUCGAAAGGAUGUCCUCAAGUACAAAAUAUUUUGUCCACAAAAUGAUGUCUAAAAGUAUACAAGUUAAAUACUUCCCCUAGUUAACUUUUUGUGCAUAUUAAGAAAGAGAAUAAAAUGACAAUUGUUCACAUUUAAAACUAAAGUUAUCAAAAAAAAAAAAACUUCUCAUUGCAAUCAAUUGCAUUAAUGCAUUUAAUACGACUUCCAACCCUUUAAGUAUUUGAAUUCCUUCAAAAAGUCAUAAUAACUUCUCACCUACUAGCAUAGUUUUUUGUACAUGAUGAAUAAUACUCCAUAAACAUUCACAGAGAAUAUAAAAUAUAGAACAAUUAAUACUAAGGGUAUUAUAGGAAAAUUUUUGUAAGAAAUAGAUUAUUUAAGGUAAGUGGGAAUUAACUUGGAACUAUCCAAAAUAAUACUCCCUCCGUCUCAUGAUAAAAGUCCUUAUUACUAUUUUGAGUAGUCCUAUGUUAAAUGUCCACUUUUCUUUAAUAACCAAAUUUUUACACAUUUUUUUCUAUUAUACCCGUAACAUUAAAUAUCUCAUACUUUUCUUAUUCUAAUUCUCUCUCCAUAUUUAAUAAGUAUAAUUAGUUAUGUGCUGAAAACAUUUUGAAUUGGAAAAUUAGAAAUUCACUCUCUCACCUACAUUGAAAAUAAUUAAUGACAUAUUAUUAUGAGUAAUUUUGUCAUUUCAUUCCUCUUCUUAAUAUGCGUGAAAAGUUCACCAGGACUUUUAUUCUAGGACGGAGGGAGUACUCCCUUCGUCUCUUAAUAUAAGUCGUUUUAGAGUUAUGCAUAAGUAUUAAGAAAAUGAUUGUAUAGCAUUAAAUAUAAUAUCAAUUGUCUAUAUUGUCCUUGUAUUGAAAAAAGUGUUAUUUAUUGGACAGAAAAUAGUUAGAGAACCAAAAUUAUAUUUAAUACUUGGAGUAAUAUUGAAAACUAAGCAAUUAAUGCUUACUUGAAAUUCUCAAACGACAAAUAUUAAGAGACAAACAUUUCUCUAAAACGACUUAUAUAUUAAGAAACGGAGGGAAUAUUAAAGACUUUUAUCCUAGGACAGAGGGAAUAUAAUAAGUCUAAAAUAAUAAGUCUAAAAAUUAGUUUACCCUCAAAAGUAUACUAAGGUGGGGUCCACUAAGUUUAAAAGAGAAACAUUUAUUAGUGUACAACUAUGGACAAAAAUUAGUAAUUAUUUAUACUCUCUCCUCUCCUUUUGUUUUCUUAAUGUAUGUGAAACUUGUACUUUGGCCAUCUCACGAAGGGAACAUUACUUACUGAUCAUCCCAAUUUUUUAUAAUUUAUUAUUUAUUUUUCAUAAAUUUUUAUUCUAUUAGAUUUUAGUUUUUUGCUUUUGUUGUUUUUCUAAUUUUCUAAAAUAUGUUAAAAUUUGUUAUGUUUCUAUAAAGAGAAUGUUUUCUUACAAUAAGUUUUUAUUCUUUCACGUAAAAACGUAUUCCUCUUUUUUGCACUAUUGGCUUCUUACAAAUAAAAAAGUCAAAACUGGCUAAACAAAGUACUGGAAAAUUUAAGCACAAAAAUAGAGUUAACAAAACACUGUCCAGACAAGGCCUAGACUAUAAGAGAGUGUCAAGAAAAAGGCAGUGUGAGGAGAGAGCGCAGGUAUAGAAAGUGUAUUGGCUAAUAAAAUAAUCAAAUGAUAUGUGAUGUUCUAUUUCUUAAGAAAUUUUGUUUAUUAUGUCAAAAUUUGGAAUACUACGCAGAAAUAAACCAACUAGGGAACUAUGAAGGGGGGAAAUAAAUUCACAAAAGAUUCUUGUUAAAAAGAAGCACUUGUCAGCAAUUUAACCAACAUUUUGAGAAUAUAGACAUUUACAAGAGAAUAAGAUGAGAAACCACAAAUAAAGUGUUUGACAAAGAAUAAAGACUUACCUGAGGCCCAGAAAAUUUUCCUGCAGGACACCCAAUAGGCCACUUAACAUCUUUUUGCAACAAGGUAUACUCUUGUUCAAUAGCAAACCUGUUAUAUUAUAUUGAAUUUAAAGCAGUUUCCAAGUACAGGAAAUAAUAUGUUUAAAAAUCAGAACAAAGAUCAAGAAACUAUUUCACAGAAUACAAUUGUAUACCAGGGUACUUCAAAAGCAACAUCAGGAUGACUGAAAAUCUUGGCUGCAUUACACCUCAUGUUUGUCAGAAUUGGCUUACCAUCUGGAGUGUAAGCAUCACACAUUACCUACCAAUUAAGAAAGAGAAAGAACAAGUGUUGGGUCCUACAUACUGUUUGGAAACAAACUAAUAAUAGAAGUACACUUAUUCAGAAAAAUUAAAUGAAGCAAGCCAAAAUACAAAGGAACUGAAAGUGAAGAAACAAAUAACUUACCAAAAUAUUGUUGCCCCUUCUGAAUGGGUCUUUAAAAAUAGCUUGAGGACUGUGUCAUUACAUCAUCAUCGCCCACAGACAAAUAUCCAUUACUUGUAUACAGACGAGUAAUAAAGAGUGGAAGAUCAAAAUAAAGGGUUAAAGAACUUACUAUAGGAUCACUUCGCUAUCUUCGCCCAAAGCUUGACCUGUGCUAGAACCAUCAUAGUUCCAUUUGGGAAGCUUGCUGGAAUCAUCAACAGGUCCUGAAAGGGUCUAUAUAAAAACAAAACCACGUAUAUGAGCAGUGAAGAUGAAUGAACAAUAUUCACAACAUCACUGGGAAGUAUGUUACUAAAAUAAAAUAUUACCCUUGCUUUACUUCUAAGAUCCACACCAGAUCCACCAAUCCUAUUCAUAGAAUCAAGAUUGCAAGAGAAUCGAGUUAAAUUUCAUAAAAUAAUGAAAAGAAUUUGUUACAUUUAGCAAUUUAUGUUAUACGUAUUCACUGACAACACCUAAUACUUCAAGUUCCAUUGACUAACAAGAACAAGGGAUUCAGGGUUAUUAGACUAAUGAGUAAUAAACAGAAAUGGUCACAUUACCAAAAACAGAGCAGUCCCGUAAAUUAAAAGUAUAGCUUAUGAAGAAACAGAACACUAAAAGGAAAUUUAAAGAAUUAAAAAGAAAAAGAAAAGAAGCUAUAUUUAAGAGAAAAACUCACCAUAUAUACUCAGCAAUUAUAUUCUCUGUCGAGUUGGAGAGGUUAAGAUUGAUAAAAUCUGAAAGCAAAGCCAUAUUUGAAACCUUUAACUUUCUCACUCCAAGUCUCCAACUAUAGUUGUAUGCAGAGAUGAGAAGAAUGAGGUAAUGAGUUGCUUUUAUAGUGUUGUCUAUAAAUAUUAACACCUAUCCACUUAGGUUGCAUGUUCUUGUAUCCGUAUCCAGAAUUCGUAUCUGAAUAACUUUAUAUAUGUACAUAUGUAUACAUGUAAGUUAUUAAUUAAUGUUAUUUAUUAAUUAAUGCAGGUAUUAUAAUUUACAUGGAUUAAUUAAUAACUUACUAUGUAUAUAUAUAUGUACAUAUAUAUGUACAUACAAGUUAUUAAUAUAUAUUAAUAACUUACAUUCAUUAAUUAUAUAUAUAAUCGAAUAACUUACAUAUAUAUAUAUAUAUAUAAAACAUGUAAAUAUGAUAGUUCCACAAACUCCUCCUCACAUGAAUAAUAAGUGGGAUCCACCCUCACUAAUGUGAGACAGUACCUUGUGGAACUAACAAUUUUACUUGUGAAAAUAUCAAUUUCCUAUAUGUGUGUGUGUGUGUGUGUGUGUGGGUUAUCAUCCAUAACAACCGGUUGCUAUAGACACUAUUCUAGCAACCAACUUGUCAGUCGUAGAUUUAAUAGGAAGGCUAAGAUGGGAAAAAAUAUAUUGUCAGCUGCUACAACAUGUAACGGCCCAAACAACAUACUCUAGCUGCUUCUAUUUUAAUAAAAGUCAAAUUAACUUGCUAAUGUGGGCCCAUAUUGUCAAAUAGAAAGAUAUAAAAUAAAUUUAUUUUUUUAUAUACCAACCGCUAAAGCUUGUAGCGGCUUGGUCUUAAUAUUUUUUUUAUAACGUGAGCCAAAUUUUGAGAAAUAGAAUGAUAAAAAGGGAAUUUAUUUUUUUUUAUAUACCAACCGCUAUAGCUUGUAGUGGUUUGAUCAUAAUUUUUUUUUGUGUCAUCCGUUGUCCCACUUUGUUGGUAAUAGUGUUAUUACUUGUCUUUUUAUUAUUAAUACUAAUAUUAAUUAAAUGAGAAUUAAAAAGGCAAUUAAUAUUACAAUAUUAUCUUUCUAUCUCUCAAUUUUCUUACAACGAAAGUCAUUAAAAAAAAAAAACAAGCCGCUACAUCUUGUAGCGGUUGGUAAUAGUGUUAUUACUUACCUUUUUUUAUUAUUAAUAUUAAUUGCCUUUUUUAUUACUAAUACUAAUAUUAAUUGCCUUUUUUAGUAAUAUUAGUAAUUGCCUUUUUAGUAAUAAUAUUAGUAAUUAACUUUUUAUUACUAUUACUAAUAUUAAUUGCGUUUUUAUUACUAAUACUAAUAUUAAUUGCCUUUUUAGUAAUAUUAGUAAUUGUCUUUUUCGUAUUAAUAUUAGUAAUUGCCUUUUUAGAAUUAAUAUUAAUUGCCUUUUUAUUACUAUUACUAAUAUUAAUUGCCUUCUUAUUAGUAAUACUAAUAUUAAUUGCCUUUUUAUUACUAAUACUAAUAUUAAUUGCCUUUUUAAUUAUCAUUUAAUUAAUAUUACUAUUAGUAAUAAAAAGACAAAUAAUAACACUAUUACCAACCGCUACAAGAUGUAGCGGCUUGGUUUUUGUUUUUUUUUAAAUACCUUUAGUGUUGUCUUUAGUAAUAAAAAAAGCAAGUAAUAACACUAUAACCAACCGCUACAUGCUUGAUUUUUAUUUUAUUUUUAUUUUUUUAAUGACUUCCGUUAUAAAAAAAUUGAGAGAUGGAAAGAUAAUAUUGUAAUAUUAAUUGCCUUUUUUUGCCUUUUUAAUUCUCAUUUAAUUAAUAUUAAUAUUAGUAAUAAAAAGGCAAGUAAUAACACUAUUACCAACAAAGUGGGACAACGAAUGGCACAAAAAAAAAAUUAUGACCAAGCCACUACAAGCUGUAGCGGUUGGUAUAUAAAAUAAAUAAAUUCCCUUUUUAUCAUUCUAUUUCUCAAAAAUGGGCCCACGUUAUAAAAAAAAUAUUAAGACCAAGCCGCUACAAGCUGUAACGGUUGGUAUAUAAAAAAAAUAAAUUCAUUUUAUAUCUUUCUAUCUGACAAUAUGGGCCCACAUUAUCAAGUUAAUUUGACUUUUAUUAAAAUAGAAUUGACUUUUAUUAAAAAUAAGUUACUAGAGUAUGUUGUUUGGGCCGCUACAUGUUGUAGCGGCUGGCAAUAUAUUUUUUCCCAUCUCAGCCUUCUAUUUAAUUGAUCUACGGCUGACAAAUUAGUUGCUGGAAUAGUGUCUAUAGCAACCGGCUUCUAUGAAUGAGAACCUAUAUAUUUUAUAUAACUUUAUCCUCUGAUUACUGGGUUAUAUAUUUUAUGGAUCCGGUUAGCAUGAAGUUUAUUUUCUGGUAAGUUGGUUAAUUGGCCAAUAGAAUACUGACACAUAUAAUCUUGUNNNNNNNNNNNNNNNNNNNNNNNNNNNNNNNNNNNNNNNNNNNNNNNNNNNNNNNNNNNNNNNNNNNNNNNNNNNNNNNNNNNNNNNNNNNNNNNNNNNNAGCAAUCGACAAUAUAAUUUUAUUGUUAAAAUGUGUUAGGUCCAAAUUAAUUUAGAAUUAAUCUAGAAGAGAGUCAUUAAUUAAUAUUACAUAUAUAAAUAUAUAAGUUAUCAAUUAAUAACUUACAUUAAUUAAUAACUUACAUAUAUAUAUAUAUACAUAUAUAUAUAUAUAUAUAUAUAUAUAUAUAUAUAUUAACUUACAAAACUAUAGCUAUUAACUUGUUACAAGUUUUUUACUUUCAAAACAUACUUGUGAUGCCGAGAGGCGAGGGCAAUGGACAAUAUAAUUUUAUUGUUAAAAUGUGUUAGAUCCGAAUUAAUUUAGAAUUGAGGGUUGAAUAGAUUAAUUCACAUUUAUGAAUUUCGGGUAGAGAGUAUUUAUCAGUUAUCACUUUCAUUUGCCCAAUUAUUUAGAAACUAGAAGUCCAAAUAUUUUAAGUAAACUCAAGGUCAAUUUUGGAUCAAGUUGGAUUAACUAUUUGUCACACAUACAUUAUAACUCACUCUCCAUAAAUAUAAUGAAAUGAAAUAAAUUUUUUUAUAACUAUGUAAUCCAUGUAUUAAGGAUAAAUAAUAAAUAAAACUCCACAUAAACAUAUUAUUAAAGUUUUAAUCAAGUAUUUGAGAAAAAAUAAUAAAUAUUCAAUGUUAACUUUUGAAUCUACACACUACAAUAUUAUCCCACGCGCAUAAAAUUGACAUCUACUUAUUAAUGAACAUCUAAACAUUAAUAAGUAGAGCAUAAUAUUUGAAAUUUAGGAUUUCAAAAUAAUGAAAACUUAUUUGAAUUGUAAUUUAGAGCAUUCAUUAUUGUAGUUAUUAAAAAUAAAUAAAUUAAACAUUCAUUCAUUAAUGAAUUAUACUUUAAAACUCAUUAAUUUUUUUCUUAUACUAGUUAUAGUUGUAAUUAAAGCAUUCAUUUUGAAAUAGGAUUUCGAAAAUGAUGAAAACUUAUUUGAAUUGUAAUUUAGCGCAUUGAUUAUUGUAUUUAUUAAAGAUAAAUAAAAUAACAUUCAUUCAUUAAUCAACUAUACUUUAAAAUUCAUUAUUAUAUUAAUUUGACUAUUUAUAUAUUUUAAUAAUAUACUUUUAAAAUUAUUAUUUUAAUAUGUUUACUUUAUGUUUAGAAUAUUUUUUUUGUAGUGGUUCAAGUUUAUAAUAAUCUAUGCAUAUAAAUUUUGAAUUGGGAUUUAAAACUAAUACAUAUAUUAUGUAUACUAAUACAAAUAUAUAGAAUAUACUAGAAUCUGUAUAAAUCAGCAUUCUACUAAGUGGAGACCCAUUAGAAUCAAGGAUUGACUCACAAAAACCGUUGGAUCAAGUUCUACUUCUAUCUCAAUCGUUCAUUCAAAUCACUCAACAUGCAACCAUUAGAACAAAGCUAUCAAAAGUUGGAUUUAAUCCCAACCGUGGAUCAUUUCCAUCAAAUAAUCCAAACUGUUACAUCAGGUAAGCAAGCAUAAAUAUAAAUAUAAACAAUAAAAAGAAAAUUCCAUUUUUUUUCUUCUUUCUCUCUCGUCUCAACUGUUCUCUCUUCUCUCUCAUUAAAAGUAUUUUUAAAUUCUAAUUUUUCUAACUUAGAUCUAGCCAAAUCAAAACAUGUUUUUUGAAAAAUUGCUCCAAUUAAGUCAUUCAUAAGUAUAUUAACUACAAUUCUACCGAUUUGUUUUUCAAAAAUCUGUUUCCAAAAUUUCAAAAUCUUCAAAAAGUUUCUUUUAAAUGUCUAAGCUAGAUUUGUAAAAUAUUCUCUCAAAUAACCCAUGAUUUGUUCAUAUGUUUCUGGGUAAACUCGUUUCAAUAGUUUUUUAUUCAAUACUUGAUUUAGAAUAUUAAAAGAUUUUUUAAAAAAAGAAUUGCCGAAAAAUGUUAUAGAUCUUAACAUUUACAAAAUCAUUCAACCUUCGGGGGUUAUAUCCUUUUUACAUAUUUGGAGCAUGAAAUUUUCUUAUUUUAUGGGCUGAAUCUGUGGAGUAUUUGAUGUAGAACGGGCUAGGAAGAAGAAGGAAUAAGAGUACAUAUCUCCAUAGAAAAUCGGUAAAGAAACACACAAGCACACAGAUUUAAUCCCAAAUCAAUAUAUUCAAUAAUUUAAAAUUAAUGAAGUAUUACAAUGCUUAAAUAGAAAACCCAAAACUGGGAGAUUAAGUAAAAAUCCUAAUUUAAAAAAGAAACAAUCUCCUAACUAAAAUCUACUACCAUAAUAAACUCUCCUAAUUGAAAUCUACUACUAUAAUUAAAAUUCUCAUAAUUAAAAGCUACUACUAUAUUAUCAUACUAAAUAAUUUCAUUAAUAACUCAAUAAUUAUCUCUAAAUAACAAUACAAAUUAAUAAUAAAAUUUUUGAAUUUCUUUUUCCGUUUCGCAUCAUUCUCCUCGCCUUGGAAAAAAAUCGUCCUCGAGUUUUGAAAUAUCAUAGAAAAAUAAACCACAGUCCGAGAGAUGUCUUCGAACAAAACAUUCGCAUCCUAUAUUUUAAUGUCAUGAGCACAUUUUACGAGAAUAACAAUGACAUAAUAUAAAAUUUUGAAGUAGUUGGGGACUCAAAUGUAUCAACUGGAAAGAGAAAAUCAACAUGGUUGACCUCAACUUUAUCUUCCUUGAUGUUUUCGCAUUUGGGGUCAAACUUAACUUCAAUUUCCUCACUGCAAACCAUCUCUGAAAAUUGUUCAACACACUUAACUUCCGCUUUAAAUUUCUUACAAGCAUCAAUUUGUGAGAGUACUAGCUCUUCUUUAUCCUCACCAAUUUCAUAUUGGUUAUUGAGACGUUUAUGUAUUGUGAGACAGUCAUCAAUUGUCUUAUAAAAAUUUACUUUGCAAGUCUCCUCUUGUGAACGUGUCACUUUAGUUGAACAAACACUAUUAGGAUGAAAAAAAAAAUUGUGCUUGAACAAAAUAUGGACAAACAAAGCUUGUGGUUAUGUACCCGUAAUGUUGCAAACUUGUUUCAGAAAGUGCAAGUUCAUCACAUAAUUUCCAAUAUUCGGCAUUAUACGAGACAUAAGACCAUUUAACUAUUUAAGUUACUCGCAUAUGACCAAAGUAUAAUACUCAAAUUGCUUUAUCUUUAGCCCAAAGAAAGUCUGGAUUGUUAAACGUGGAAGACAUAUAUACGUAAGGGGGCUAAAUUGAAAAUUUCAAAAACUUUGGGGGUUAAAUUGAAAACUCAAACUGUGGGAGCUAAAUUAAAUAUUUCAGAAACUUUAGGGGUUGAAUUGAAAGUUUUAGAAACUUUGGGGGGCGGAAUUGAAAAUUUCAGAAACUCAAAGGGUUGAUUUAAAAACUUCAUAAACUUGGGGGUACCAAGUGUAAUUUGUCAUAACAUCAGAAAUUUGACAAACAGUGUCGCGCACUGUAGCGAUGAACAAUGACAACUUUUUUUUUGGAAUAGAUUGAGACUACGACGACGACGAUUCCUGCUACAGAUCGUGCUUUUGUCCCGAAAAAUUGUUUUUUAUUUUCUAGUGAACUUCAACAAUUUGAUGGAGGCCAGAAAAUUAGGGUAGGAAAGAAUUGGGAUAAAUCAAACGAUAUCAAGAAUUUUGGCUCUUGAUACCAUUAUGAUGUAGGAUGGGGGUUUUGGGACAAAGAGACAAUUCUCAUGCAAAACCGAAUCAAUUAAUCAUUCAAUAUCCAAAUAAUGAAAUACAUCACUAUUUAUAAUACUUCUAAAUAACUUUCCUAACCUAAAUUGGACUCUUAUACGAAAACUAUAAAUUAAAAAAAUAAUUAAAAUACAACUUCUAAUUCAUAUAGGCUUCCAAAGCCUUUUAUAUUGUUCUAACCAACUUUCACGAACUCGUCCUACAUCAUUUCUCCUCCACUGAAAAAAACUCGACUCCGUUGAGUUAUCAACACAAGAACAAUCACGUCAGAAAUUUGGCAUAUCGAGAGCGCAAGUAAGUGAAUUUGGUAUUGCCUUUGAUAAUCGAAUAGAUAUUAGCACGAGCAUCAUGUUGUACGUGACGAUCCCAUAGCCAUUUACGCCCUAAGAUAAUGUGAAAUUUUAAGGGGUAGAACAUCACACAUAACAGUAUCCUUAAGCUUGCCAACGGAAAAUGUAACCAUACACCUCUGGGUAACCCGCAACUUUGUAUUGGUAAUCCAUGCAACAUCAUACGACUCCGGGUGAAGCUCAACUUUUAACCUAGGUUUCUUAACUGUUUCCUCAGAAAUAACAUCCGUACAACUUCUAGUAUCACAAGAGAACAUAUAUGUCCUGUACAUAUGACUCGUCUGAAAAAUUCGCCCACGAUGGAUUUUAGGAUCAUCCUUGUGUUUCUGUGCAACAAGUAAAGGUCGAAGAACACCUAAACAUCCUUCCAAAUGAGCGUCAGCUUCUAAAUCUUGCUCAUCGGGCUCAUCUUCGUCGUCUAUCGGCUUGCAAACCUCUUCGUUUAAAUCAACUUUCCUGCACGCUUUGUCAACAAUAGCAAGUUGUCUAGAGGGAGAAGAGACAACAUUCAUCUUCGGGGAAGGACACUCAAAAGACAUAAGACCAAAACCACGACAGUUAUAACACCUAGACGUAAGGAUGUUGCUAGCAUUAGAAGAACCUAGAAUACGAUUAGGCCCACUAGUAGCUGAAGGGCUUGUUGACGCUCUUUUCAUAGGCCUAUUUAAACCAGGCUUCACAAAAGUACUCUCCCUUCUAAUUUGGACUUGUAAUGAAGGCCUAACAUAAUUCCUUUUAAAAUUAUCCUCUACUUGGGUGACAACUUAAACAACAUCAUCCAAGAGCAAAAGUUUACCUGUAGCUACACCACCUGCAAUCUCCAAAUUCAAUCCUCGACGGUACAUGGAGAUUAAAACUUCCUCAACCCAAGAAAAUUCAGACCGUGUAACCAAAUUGAAGAACAUUGAAGUAUACUCGACUACAAAUUUACUUGUACCUACUCAGUUAACUGCAAAUAUGCUCGCUCCUUAUAAUCCAAAGGUACAAAACGUCGUGUCAAUGCAGCCUUCAUAUCCUCCCAUCUUCUCGUAGCUAUUUAUAAAUUUCAUUGAUGUUGAUCCCACCAAAUACGAGUUGUUCCUUUCAACUUCGCUUCAACAAAGAAAAGUUUUAAUUCAUACCAAUGAAAGAAGCUCUCCAAACUAUGAAUCCAAUCGAAGAAUGUCUCGGGACCAUUAUCGCCAUUGAAAUCUCCAACAUCUAAUUCUAAAGAUUGCAAAAAUGGCUCAGUCACGGGUUCCCAUUUAGAGUAAGACAUUGAUGUGGAUGACUCUAACAUUUCAUUCACCUUGUUUACAUAUUCUGUUUCAUCCCAAUUUUGACCAAAAUAAUUUAGACAAAAAUUAAAAUUUUCUUCUUCUCCCGUAAGUUCAUUUUCAGGGUUGGUCAAAAAAAUCACUUAGUUGCUUUCCCACAUUAAAAACAUUUAAAUCAAUUGUUAUGUUCCCAAAUGUCAAUUUCAUUAGUUCAUUUCUACAAUUGAUUAACGCAUUAGAGGUUGCUAGAAAUGGUCUACCUAAAAUGACAGGAAUUUAACCCUUGGGAUUGACAACAGGCUGGGUUUCCAGGACAACAAAGUCAACAGGGAAGACAAAAUCACCAACCUUAAUGAGUACAUCUUCAACUAUUCCUUUUGAUACUUUAGCGGAACGGUCAGCUAGUUGGAGUAUGACACUUGUCUUUUUCAACUCCCCUAAGCCUAAGGUUUGGUACAUAGAAAAUGGUAACAGGUUCACACUAGCUCAUAAAUCAAGCAAAGUUUUUUCAAUUAACGUGUCACUUAUGAUGCAUGACCGGGAUCCUUAUACUUCACAGGAACUUGACAUGACAAGAUAGAACAAACAUGAACUGCUAGAAAAGCUUUCUUAGGAUCAUGAGUGGUUCUUUUAUGUGUGCACAAAUCUUUUAGACAUUUAGCAUACGAGGGAACUUGUUGAAUGGCAUCUAGAAGAGAAAUGUUAAUUUUCACUUGUUUGAACACUUCUAGAAUUUUGUCCAACUGAGCUGAUUGCUUGUUUAAAACAAGUCUUUGAGGAAAUGGGGCUUUUGGUUUAAAGACUUUUUCAGUUGAUUCAGAUGAUGUGGUUUGAUCAUUUUUUGACACAAGCUUAGUAAAUGGGUCUACUGACUCAGAGUUUGUGAGCUUUUCAGGCUGGAAAUUUUGGAUUGGUCUCGGGUUGAAUGGGAAACUUACCCUUCUCUCUUUCAUUAAUUGUAGUGGCCAAUUGACUAAUUUGGGUCUCUAAACGAGAUAAUGCUUGGUUAGUGUUUUGCUGAUAUUUUAUUAAAGUUUCCACUCUUCUCUAAGGUGUUAAGUCUUCUCUCACUUUCAUUAGAAAAACCUUAUGAAUAUUGAGGUGCUGAAUUUGAAUUUUGGUACGGACCAAGAUUUGGCUUUUAGUAAGGUUGAAAAGAUUGAUUUAGAGACUGAUUGACCUGAUUUGAAGAGUUAUUUGGGUAAGGUCCUUGGUUCCAUGCAAAAUUAAGAUGAUUUCUCCAACCUGGAUUAUAAGUGGGUGCAAAUGGGUCAUCCAUAGGUCUUUGAAACAUUGCAUUGACUUUUUCAUAUUUUUCAGCUUGGGACAUGACUCUAUUCCUCAAUCACAUCACAUGACUUGGUGAAUUACACCUUAGACACAAAGGUGUUGUUGAGACUUGGUUCACGUGUGAUGGUCCCCUAAUUUCUAAAGUUUCGAGUCUUUUAAGUAUACCAGUCAACUUAGCUUCGGUAACAAUUGAAUUGUCAAUUUUAUGAACACCCCUAGCUGAACUAGGUUUAUCGGUCUCUCGAGUGGUUUCCCAUUGCAUGGUUUUUUCUACUAAGUCUUCCAAAAACUCCCAAGCCUUUUCCUCAUCAUUAUUUAGAAAAUCCCUUUACACAUUGACUAACAUUAUUUUAGUGGGAUAGUCUAAACCUUCGUAAGCAAUUUGGCAUAAUCGCCAUUUCUCAAUUCCAUGGUGUGGACACUGGGAUAACAAAUUUUUAAAUCUAUCAAAAUAUUUCCAGAAUGACUCUUUUUCAAGUUGGAAAAAUUAAUGAAUUACAGUCCUAAUUUUAGCAAUUUUAUGAUUUGGAAAAUAUUUUUUUAGAAAUGUAACAAUAAAUCCCUCCCAAGUUGAUAUGGAAUUAUUUGGUAGACUAUAUAACCACUUUUUAGCAUUAUCUUUUAAAGCAAAUGUGAUAAAUCUUAGCAUUAUUGAGUCAUCAGACAAUUGUUGAAUUUUCAUUAAAGCACAAACUUCCUCAAAUUCCUGAAUAAAUAAAUAUGCAUCUUCUAUCCCCGUGAACCUAGGUAACAUAUUUAUAAAAUGCGGUUUAAGUUCAAAAUUGUUACCAGUUACCGAUGGUAGACUGAUACAUGAAGGUUGGGCAGAGCAGGAAGAAUAACAUCAAUCCCUUAAAGAAAUAGUUUGUGUCCUCCAUUUUUCUUAAAGUGAGAUCAUUUAAAGAGAAAUUCGAAAAAUCAAGUUUUCUCACUAAUCGCGAUGUUUCAUCCCUAGUCCACACUUUUUGCAUACACUACUUAGCAAAUAAGCAGAUAAGCACAAAAAAAACAAAUAAGAGGAAAAAAUAAUUAAAAAAAUUACUUCUAAGGUCAACCUAAAUAAAAUCUAUACACCUCCUAACUGUUCCAAGUUACACCACAAGGUUCACCAAAUUCGAAAUUAAUCAAACCACUAGUCAGGUAAAUGUAAGAAAGGUGAGUCUCCGUAAAUGCGGUGACUAAUUGAAUAAUCACACGUUCUUUAGGCGUUUAUCUUUUGAACCACUUGCCUAGACACCAACAAUUUGAUUGACUUAAAAUUCAGCCUCCUCUUCAAGUUUCUUGUCCUAAUUGAGCUCGAGAGUCCUAGGGGCCAACGUCUACUUGAUUUUAUUAGAUCAAAGUUAUGCAAAAUCCAAGUUGGGUUGUUUGUGGGGCCAAGGAAGGGUGAUGAAAUCCCCACCUUAUCUUGUUACAGGUUUUUGCCCUUAAUGUUAGAUUAAAGAUGAAAAUACACAAAUAAAAUAAAACUGUAAACAAAUAAAAUGUCCUAAAACUUAUGUGAAUUACAAAAGAAGAAGAAAUUUGACGUAACUCGAUCCUCCAGCAAUCACCACAAUUUAUAUUCGACAAAAAAUAAAAAAAAUAAAAAAUAAAAAAACUUAAACAGGAUUUGCUCUACGUGAAUGAAUGCAUUUAGUGGCAAUUAAAAAAAACUAAACUAAUAUUUUUUAGUUUUUUUCUUAAAAAAAAUACGGAGAUACGAAAUACCAAAGAAAGCACAGCAACAAAAUCUUUAUCUUUUAGCUCCUUCGAUCCGCUUCGAUAAUCCUGAAAAAAGAGAAGAAAAAAAAUAUUAGAGUUGAAAACUAAUUCGAAUAAAUAAAAAUUAAGGAAUAAAAAAUUAAUUCUAGUCCUCGGCAACGACGCCAAAAACUUGAUGCAUUAAAAUUAUGUACUGCGAGUGCAUAGUAUCUAUUGUAGAUUUGGCAAGUGCAAGUCGAACCACAGAGACUAAAUUAAUUAUCAAAAUCCUUAAUAAAUAUUUUAAGCAAAUUAGAAAUAAAUAUAAAGGAGAUGAUUAACUAACUAAAUUAUGCAAACUAAUAAUUACUAAUGAAAACUAUUAAUGAGAAAAGUUACCUAGGAAUCUAAAUCCACCAAGUAUUAACAUAAUAAACAAUUCCUUAUUUCCCAAAUUAAUUCCUAAAUUAUUUUUACGUCCCUUUAAAAAUAAUAAUUCAUAUAAUUAAUAUGGGCAAGCAUAAGUUAUGAAAAAAUUCACAAAUUAACUAUAACUUAUCAAAACCUCGCAAUCAAUAUAAAUAUCAUAUGCAAUAUGUGCGAAGGAAAAUAUGAAGGCGAAAAUAAUUAGGCACUAAUACCGGAACGGUAAGAAAUUAAUUAUUAUGAAAUAUUUAGUUUCAUCAUCAUCCUAGGUAUUAGAAAUUUAGUUAGCCAUAGAAUUCAAAAUAGGAACAAAUAAAAUUAUUAUUACUACUAAUUGCAUGAGAUAAGAUGAAACUAAAAGAAAAGAAUUAACUAAGCAAGAAGAGAACUAAACUAACUUAUAUUGUUAAGGUAACACAGGUGCAUAUAAUAGAAGGGAAAAACUAAUACCUAUACUGUUAAUAUAAAGUGAAGUAAAGAACAAAACAAACCAAGGCUACGAAAAUUAAAGAGCAAUUCUUUAAUGGAAAAACUGAAUGGAAAGCAUGGAAAACAAAAUCAAUUUUACUGAUGCUUUAAUAUUGACUUCCGUCCAAAACUAAGAGAAUCUCUCGACCCCAGCGAGAAGAGUACAGAAGAAAAAUAAAAAUACAAAGUGGUACCCCCUCUCUCUAAAACAAGAGAUUCAUUUAUAGGGAAAAAUAAAUUGUAACCUAAUCUAAGAUACAUUGAACUUGGACUUUUCUUUUCCUUUCUCUUUAUCUGCAAAUUGACUCCAACUUCUUCAUAAUUAUCCUCCAAGAGUCUCAUAUAAUCUUUUAUUUGCUCCCCAAGAUAAACAAAAUAAAUCUUACAAAAUCAACUAAAAUGUAUUAGUUAAAGAAAAUAAACACACAAAAUAAUAAAUAUGGAAAUAUUAAAAUGUAUAAUAAAUGUGUAUAUCAGGUAGCCAAAGAAAUGACUCAGAUGAUAUAUUACAACCCAAAGACUACACAUCAAAGGAAAACAAUGUACAACACUAAGAGACUUAAAAGUUGCAGCAAGAUCCAAAAAAGAGAAGAUCUAAUUUAGGAAACCAACUAGUGGAGGGCCUAUUGCAGAUAAAGUGUUGGGAUGGGAUUUUUGUAAUCUUUUUAUUCUUUUUUGGGGUACAUAAAAUUACUCCUAAGCUUAUGAAUGCAUUUGGUGUAUGUAUGUUGCCUAGGGCUAAGAAGGUGUGGUUGAGAUUGUAAAUUGCAAUGUAUGAUGCUUUUUGUUAAUAGGCAUGUUAAGUCAACUGAUUUGAAUUGCCUCUGCUUUGUGACAUGUACUGGGAAUUAAUUACUUAAUUGAAUGGCAAUAGCAGUUCCUGAAAGUUUAUAAUAGCUUGGUUUUCUAUUGAAUUGUUUUUAUUUAGAGCAUUUUGAUUAUAGCAUUUUCUACCAUUGUGUGGUUAUUAUAACAGUUGAGCUUUGUGGUUAUUAUAGCAGUAUGGUUCGUUCAUUUCUGCAGUGCUUGCUAUUAUAGCAGUAUGGUUGGUGCAUUAAUGAAAGGUGUCUAUGAAAUGCACCAGAUAUCAUAAAUUGCACACCAACCAUUUUAUAGCAUAUAUCAUAAACAAGUUGUAAAAUUGCACCAAUUCACACAUAAAUUUCCAACAAAAGAUGCCCAGUAAUUACAUUCCAUAAUAAAUUUCCCGCAAAAGAUGCCCAGCAAUUACAUUCCAUAUGUGUCCUAAUUUCUACCACUAUAUUGCCACAAAUUACAAUCCCAGUAAUUGCCCACAAAAACUGCCAUUUUUAAUUAGAGUACUACCAGUACAUACAUAGCCUAGAAAUUUACUUGUGGGGAUUUUCAUCCUUUGUUGAGAUGAACAUGAAAUAAAAAAUCACAAUCCAGGUUGCAAUCAACAGACCCCAUAUGCAAUCCUUGCCUUAAUUUUGCACUCAUUCAGUUCAUCUUUCAGAACUUUGAUUUCAGCAUUCAAAUUCUCUAAUCUUCUAAUUAAUCCAAGUAUUACUACAUUUGAACACUCACACAUUGGAGGAUCAACCCAAGCGAAAAAAUUACAACCAUCGUGCCCAUCUUCACACCAAUCUGGACAACUAAGAAAUCUUCUAUCGGCAUUGUUUGAGCUUCUCAAAGCGGUCUUAAUCAUUGAAUUCUUCAUGCACCAGCAAUUUCGAUCCAUGAACCCUUUCCUGAAUUUACAAUCUAAUCGAGCUGCCCAUAAUUAUGAAUCAGUUAGAGCUUUAGUAGCUUGUUCCAACUCGGGAAAUAGAAGAUGUGGAAAAGAUUUAAACACCCCUCCAGAUCCACACGUGUGUCUUAGCCGGUCACUUUUGACCGGUUAACUGAAGAAAGUGUGUCUUUUGUUAAUUAUAACUGAAGUUUGGGGUGUACUUACACUUUUUUCAGUUUAAGGUGCAAACGUCAACAUUUGUGUAAAGUUUGGGGUACAAAAUGUCUUUUAGUCUAAACUCUCCUAAUUGAAAUCUACUAAUACAAUUAAAACUCUCCUAAUGAAAAGCUACUACUAUAAUAUCCUACUAAAUAAUUUCAUUAAUAACUCAAUAUUUAUCUCUAAAUAACAAUACAAAAUUAAUAAUAAAAAUUUUGAAUUUUUCCUUCCGUUUCGCAUCAGUAUAUAUUCUCAAAUAAUAUUUUUUUUCUUUAUUUUAUACAUGAUAUACAUAUACGUGUGUAAAUAUAUAACCUUGAGUUGAUUAUAUCCAACUGGCCUUGUGAUCCAAAAAAAUUUAAUUUUUCUCUUCUAGGUCGGUGUUAAUUUUCGAGCUUUGCUGAUUUUUUAUUGGAGGAUCCACCAUUUUGUUCACUACUCGUUCUUGAUUUAUUACUUUGGAGGAGAUUUAUGUUUUGCUACUGAGAUGUAGCCUGAUCAGCGUAAAAAGGUAAUUAAAUCUCCCCCAUUUCCACUAUGUCUCGGUGUUGUAUGUUUGUGUGUGUGAGAUAGGGAAUAGAUCUAUUUGCUUACUGGGUCUGUUAGGAAUGUUUUCAAUUUAUUACAAAUGGGGUUAUUUAAAAGAAGUAAUCUAGUUUUCUGUUUAUCUAAUUCCUUUUUGUACUGAAACAAUUGCGGUAUUUUGGGGGGAUUUAUGUUGAUUGAUGAGUUAUUGGUCUAUAUUUUUCACAGCUUCUAAGCUACAUGCUUAUGUUUCAGGGUUACUCUGUAACAUACAUUUAACAUUUUACUUGUGAAUUGAAUAUGAAUAGUUUAUUGUGCAGUAAUGGUGAUUUGUGAAUUAAAGCUGGUGUUUUGAUCAAUUUUGGGAUAAUUGCAUAUAGUUAGGUUCUAGUUAUACUUGGUAUUGCCAAUUGUAGCUAGUUUUUGGAUAGAUCUUUAUGUAAUCUCCUCAAGCAUGGCCUUUAUGCUGAGGCCUUACAAUCUCGGGAUCUGGGUAGUACAAUAUAUUUUAUUACCCCUUAGCCUAUUAUCACCUGAGGUGGUAAUGUCUAAAAUUACAUACAGUACUUCAAACUAAAGCAGAAUCCUAUCUUGAUUUGAACUACAGUGAAGAAAUAGUUCAUAUAGUGUGACACAGAUGGAAACAUGCACUUGCAGAUACACAAAGACCAACACUCAAGCACACAAACAAACAUACAAUGAUACACGUGCCGAUAAAAUCGCCUCUGGUCUGUCACGACUAGAGUUAGUGUUGGGACACUGUCUAAUUUUCUUGGUUCGAUCUUUUUGCAUUUUGUUUGCUGUAUAAAUUUAUUAAUUUGUCAAGACUGGUGUUGGUGUUGGGACAGCUCAAGCUUGUUUUUUUGCUUUUAACCUUUCAGAGCUUUCCAAUUAUUUUAGAUUAACAUUAUACUAAUAUUAUUUAUUUUUCUCUUGCAGCUGCAAUUAGUUAAGAUGCUAAUUAAUGAAGGAUGAUUGCAAAGAAGAACAACAGUUUUAUCAUCUUUUCAAUGAUUAAUUUGAUACUUUCUCUAAGAUGUUUAAAUUUUGAUUUUUAUGAUCAAUGGUGUAUAAUGAUGUGUUUAACAUUUUUCUCCCCUUUAUGAUUAGAAUGUUUAAUUAAUAUGUAUGGUUUGAACUUUAUAUUGUGAUCGGUGAUGAUUAAUUAUUCAAUUUUUUUUGUAAAUAAUUUGAAUGAAUUUUAUAUUAGGUGAUUGAUAAACGAAUUCGGAUAGCUGGAUAUUCGAAUAAUCUGUUUAUUCGAAUAAAGUAAACCAAAAUGGAUAUUAUUCCGAAUACCAGAUACGGAUAAUAUUUUUAAAAUUCGCUGGAUAUCGGAUACGAAUACGGAUAGCGAAUUAAUUUUCUAGAUACAGAUACAACUGUAUUCGGAUCCUUAUAUAUUCAUUUACACCCCUAUCCAGCAUGACUUAUUCCUAACUUUUACUAACCAUGCCAUGUGCUUGUUCAUAACUAUAUGAUAAUUUGAAAAGGAAUCUACUUUUUCUGUUUUUAAGCACUAGAUAUAAGUAAACUACAGAUAAACCCCAAGUUUAGAUCAACUGGUAAAGGCCAUAUAAAAAAAAUAAAAAAAAAACAUAGGGGCACUAAUUCGAGUUCCCAUGGGGCCAUGUCACAGGUGUUUAUUCACGGAUCGCUAAGUACCAGCACAGAAAGGCUCAUUUUUGACAGGAUUGUGAUGGGUGAGGACAGCAAUAAUAUCCAAAGGAAAAAGAAGAAGAACACAGUUCACUAUUAUUUCACUAACAACAACAAAAGUGAAAUUUAAGCAAAUAAUAAUAAAUUUAAAUACAUUAAUAAAAAGGAAGUGGGAUUGUAUGGGUAGGACAGUAACAUAUAUUGACAGAAACUAAUCAAGAUUUUCCAUGGUCUGAGAUAUUUUUACUGGGUAACAGCUCUGCUGGAUGAAGCAAUUAGCAUUGUUCUCUAACCAACGGACAAUAACUGCUUAACCUUGAUAGGCAAUUGACUAUGUUUGGACUUUUGGACAUGAGCAGUUAAAUUACAUGAAAUUUGUUACCGGUGCUUCUUGAUUGCUCUGAACCUUAAGACCUUCGACGAACACAUUUUUCUUUUCAUUAGAAACAAAUUUAACCUUGAGGAUAAAUUUAAUCUUGAGGCUAGGUCUUAGGGUGUUCACUACAAAGUUAUCUUCUCCUUUCGUUCUCUUCUGUCUUUUUAAUUUUGACUUGGUUGGCAGGGUCAGGGUCAUGGCCUUUCUCACUGGAUAAGCGCAUCCGAUUCUAAAGUCCUUUCCUAAACCACUUCCCGUUCAGUUGCUGAAAGAUAGAGAUAAGGCUUUCUAAAUGAAAUUUCACGAUAAGACCUUCCUGCCUUUACCACUUCAAUCGACUACUUUGAAUUGAAAGACCUUCCGCGUCAUCCUUGUGUUCCGGAGAUAUAAAGCGAGUGCACCGGAAAAGAAAAGGGAAUUGGGUCGAUCUAUUAUUCUAUUCUAUGUUAAACAAAAUAAAAAGGGAUUUGAUGAAUUAUGUUGUUCCUUAUAAGCAAAAUUAACCAAGGUUAUAGUAUUUUAUAAUAAAAAUAAGAAGUAGAUAUAUAAGAAGAUAAAAAAAAAGACUUCACCUAAAACAGAGAGGCCCAUUAAUCCCACUUCGAAUAAGGGAAAGAAUAUUCAAUAAAAAAAUAUAGGUAAAUAGAUACUUAUAAGAAAAAAAAUAGAGGAUAAAUAAUUAAGAACUCUCUUUAACUCUUAUACAUGUGGCAUAUAUCCCAAGGAAGGGUUAAUUUUAACUAAUCGCUUUUAUCUGUAUUGUUUCAUUUUGUUCACCCAUUUAGAGGUGACUAACAAAGUAAGGAUUUAAACAUUAGGCAACAUGCAUACGGCAUACCAAGAUGAUGAAGACUAUAAAAAUAAAAAAGCAAGAAUUGUUAGAUAAAAACUCCAACAAUAUGAGAAUGUGGUAGUUUUUAUGCUAUUGAUUCAACCAACUUGACAAUUGGUUUGGGUAAGGAAUUCUAAGGAUUUUUGACUUGGGAAAGUUUGGGAAAGAAAAUUAUAAAAGUGUAUUUUCCUUAACUUUUCUUUGUGAGUUUAGCAAGGAAAAAAUAGUAAGUUAGAAUAUGGUUGUCAGAAAUUUGUUAUCAAUAAGGAUAAUUACAUAAAAAAGGAAAGUUACAUCAAGUCUAUUUUAUUCUCCUUACAAAUUCUACCACUUUUCGUAGAAAACUUUCUAAGGAGAAUUGGCCAAAUUUUCCUCGGCUUGCCUUGCCCUUCCCAACUUAAAAAAUCUUACAAACAUGGGAUUGCUAAGGACAGUUGCAAAUUUCCAUUUCCUUAUAAACCCUUUCUUUCCUUAAGUUGUAAAACUCACAAACAACUUUGGAGGUCAGUCAGACGUAUAAUCAAGAAUAAUUUUGGGUUUUUUACAACCCAAUUUUAAGAAACAUGAAACUAUCCCAAAUUUUCAUUAUACAGCUUUGGAAAAUGCUAUCAUUUUCCACUUUUAGACCUUUAAAGCCAUCAAAGAACAGCCAAAUUGUUUUGAAAUGUUUGCAAUUAAGUAAUUGCAACAAGGAGAAUAUUCUGCAAUUUAACAAUGGGUCUCAUUACCCAUAAGAAUAAAAAUGGAAUUACCUGCACUGGACAGAGAAUUGGCAGUUCAAAAUGAAGUAGAACGACUGCCUGAGAAGAGUAACGAGGUCCUUCAACCAAACCAGCCACAUCUUUUCGGAGAGACUUCACCGCCGGAAAGAGAGAGGGCUCAGUAGUUUAACGAGUUUUACUUUCCCGGUGCGUUUCCCUCCUUCCCUUUAAACCCAAAAUCCAUUGGGUCUCUUCAAAUUACCGGCUUUAUAUAAAAAACGUUGCUACGGAUAAAAUUAUAUCUAUAUUAAAAACGAAUAGAAAAUUUAAGUUUUUAAUAAUUAAGUGCCCUAGAAAAUAUUAGUGAAGCUUGUCAAUUUUUAUUUUAUUAUAAAUUUAGAAAAUAAUUAAAUUUAUAAUAGAAAAUAUUAUUUUUAUAUUAAAAAUGUCGUUAUAAAUCUUACACCAAUAAAAAUAAUAAAAAAAAUAUAAAUAUUGUGAAUUUAACUAUUCCCUAAAUUUAAGUAUCACAUCUUUAGACAAAAGGUGGUAGCCUAUUCCCCUCCCUUUUUUAUUGCUCCCUUUUUUAUUGUGGAAUGUCUAGUUUACCUGUGUCCCUUCUUAACCCAUUCCUUGACUGACUCCCCACUAGGUCCAUUAAGAUUGUUUUUAAGAGAUUAGAAUUUAGAAGGGUAAGUUCCCCUCCCAACUCCUUUCCUCUAGACUCCCCACUAAGCCCCCGAGAUUGAAAUGUAUCUUUAGAUUUACUCAUAGUGUAGAUUCUCAAAAAAAUAUAAAUAAAUAAAAAGCAUGACAAUUUUGGGGCUAGGAUGUUCGGUUAUACUUUAAUUUCCUCAACAGGAAAUAUUUAUUUUCAAAGAACAUGAGAUAUCCUCCAAUGUUUUUAGUUGAAACAAUGUGUAUNNNNNNNNNNNNNNNNNNNNNNNNNNNNNNNNNNNNNNNNNNNNNNNNNNNNNNNNNNNNNNNNNNNNNNNNNNNNNNNNNNNNNNNNNNNNNNNNNNNNCAGUACGAGCAUAUUCCUUGGCUUAGUUUCUUUUUUCUUUCUUUGUUGUUUUUUUCUUCUGUUAGUCCACAGUCCACACCCAUAAGGCAAAGUAAAUAAUAAACAAAAUAAAAGUAAGCACAAAAGCAAGAGUAUAAAAAAAGAAGGAACUGUUGGCUUUAUUCCAGUGCUCAACACAAUUUCUACAAAGUGAUACUGGAUUUAUUCAAUAAUCAUCAAACCAUUGUACAGAAUCAACUAAGUGAUCCAGAAAGAAUAAGAUUACAACACACAGAUGAUGAUUAAUAAAUCCCAACCCUUUCAUUUUUGUAAUUUAUAAAAAUCAUCGUGAUUUUAACACCAGUGGCAAAUUUCUUAGUUUAUAUCACCGGUGGGACAAAUGCAAACACAAGAUAAUGAAAGAUAAGCUACUCUAAUGGAAACUACAAUCUGAGAAUACAAUUAUUUUCCUCUUUGAUACUGACAAGUAUCAGCAAUUCGACUGAAAUUAUAACUGGGGAUGCUCAAGGUUUCCACAGGAGUGUAGUCUCGGCAAUCAUGGCGGUGACAACAUAUGGAUCCAUAUUUGAAGCAGGCCUCCUGUCCUCGAAAUACCCUUUGCCCUCUUUCUCUGUGUCUCUACCCACUCGAAUGGAUGCUCCUCGGUUUGCCACUCCCUGUUGGAACAAGAAAAGUAGAAAGGGGAAAAAACACGAAGUAAGAAACUGAAAAAUGUCAAUUUUCAUUUAUUUUCCGAAUACAAUAAUUUAAAAUAAGGCGGUUCAUAAGAUGAAAAAUCAAAUCGUCCAUAGUAACUUGUAAAUAGCCUGUGACUUUGAAGUGACCAUAAGUUUCACUUGAUCAACAUUCAUCCACAAUCUGGAGCUACAAGAAAAUUUUUCAAGGGAAAAAAUUACCCAUAAGAAUGUGUUUAUAUCAGCUGUUUCAUGUCGUCCAGUGAGACGGCGUUCAUUGCCUUCACCAUAUGCAGCAAUGUGUUCUUUGUGCCUCAGACCAAGUUUUUCAAUAGCCUUCUUUAUAAUCUCAAAGCCGCCCUCGUUCCUCAUGGAUUUGGUGCUGAAAUCACAAUCAAAAUUUCAUGGAAAGAUAGUAAAGGGAUGGGGGUGUCACAAUGAAAAUCCGUAGUGUGCAAUUGAAACAAGGAAAUUUUUUACCACUCAUUACCUGUAAUUUGUGUGAGCACCAGCUCCAUUCCAAUCACCCUGUUGAAAAGAAAAAAAAAGAUAUUCUAAUGAGCUCUUCUAGGUGGACAUAAAAAUUGGACACGAGUGUAUUUGAAUUUCACCUAUUUGUAUAUUUAGGUGAAAUUCAAAUACACUCGUCUCCAAUUUUCAUUGUCCACCUAGAGUUUUUGUAUUCUAAUAUAAAAAAACUUUUUUUUCAGCAGAAUAUGGAGCCAGGAGCUAUAACUUUCAGUUACAAUAAUAAGAUACAUAUGCACACACAAAAUCCGAAACCAAGCCCAAAAGUAUUCAGCUCUGUAAAGAAACCAUGAAUUACAAAAGCUAGGUUUAAGAUAACGCAACAAAAAAAAUUAACAAAACUAACCGGGAUAGGCUUGGGAUCAAAUGAAACAACCACCCCAGCAAUCUCAGUGAUCCUCUGUUAACCAACAAAAGUUUAAAAAACAUUCAUGUUCUAUCAACUCUGUAAAAUAAUUUACUAGUUCCUUUAAAUAUAAAAAUGAAACUAAUUUUGAAAUUCUCAUUAUUUCAAUGUAAGCAUGUACAACAUAAGAGUACCUCCAGAAUGUAACGAGCCACCCACAACUCAUCUCCUGCUGAGAUACCAACAGCUGGUCCAACUUGAAAUUCCCACUAUAAACAGGAAGAAAGAUUUGAGUUUCAUUACUACUGAAGAGUAUCAACGGAAGCCGCCGCCUUGUUCUCUAUCUUAAUAAUUAUAGAGUACAGUUUUCAAAAUAGAAAAGCAAGAGCAAUAAGAGAUCAUCCAAAAGAUUGAUCAUACCUGCCCUGGCAUGACUUCUCCAUUGAUACCACUUAUGUUGACACCAGCAUAGAGACAAGCCUUGUAAUGAGCAUCAACAAUAUCUCUCCCAAAGGCUUUGUCGGCACCAAUACCACAGUAGUACGGUCCCUGAUGCAAUAGCAAGAAAGAUUAGAUGCAAUAUUUUCGUUAAAUAUUAUUUCUUAAACAAAGAACAUAUCUGUAAUUUAGUUAAGAUAUAGCAAAUAAAAAACGUUUAAGAGUUAGAAAUCACAUAAAAAAAUAUUUAAAAAUAAAAAAAGGUUUCGGACUUUAGAGGUGAGAAAUUUCACCUGAGGCCCUGGAAAUCCUCCUGUGGGCCAACCAAGAGGCCAAUGAACCUCUUUCUUCAACAAGGUGUACUCUUGCUCAAUACCAUACCUAUUAUAAAAGAUUGAGUUUUAAUGGACUGUUCAUGUCCCACAAGAAUACAAUUUCAAAAUCAGAAAUAAAGAUCAAAAAUACAUUUAAAAAAAUAAUUAUAUACCAGGGUACUUCAGCAGCAACAUCAGGAUGCUUGAAAAUUUUGGCUGCAGCAUACCUCUUGUUUGUAGGAAUCGGCUCACCAGCUGGUGUGUAAGUAUCACACAUGACCUAAUACAAUUAAGCAAGAGACGGAAAGAUUGUUGGGAUCAACAUAUGGUUAGGAAAUAUAAUGAUGGAAAUACACAAAAACUCAAAAAAUGAAAUAGGAAUUAAAAGUGAAUAAACUGUAUAACAAGUUAAGAACAAAUAACUUACCAAUAUAUGGUUGCCCCUUCUGAAUGGAUCUUUAAAAAUAGCUUGAGGACUAUUUCAUAACAUCAUAUCACCAUAAGAAAAUAAAUAGCCGAUACUAUAUAUAAAGAAAAUAGAAAAACAAGAGCAAAAGAUGAAAAUAAACGGAUCAAGAACUUACUAUAAGAUCACUUCACUAUCUUCCCCUGGGGCUUGACCUGUGCUGGAACCAUCAUAAUUCCAUUUGGGCAGCUUGCUGGGAUCGUCAACAGGACCAGAAAGGGUCUAUACAGCCAAAAAAAACCACUUAAGUGAGCGGAGAAGAUGAAUGAAUAAUAAAAUCAGAAAACAGCACCGCUAAUUUAAGAAGAAAAUAAUUACCCUUGCUUUGCUUCUGAGGUCCAUGCCAGAACCACCAAUCCUGUUCACAAUCAAUAUUGCAAGAAAAUUGAAUAAAAUUUGACAAAACAAUGAGGGAAAAAAAGUGAAACUGAUAUAUUUCUGCUGACAUCAUCAUUAUUACUACUUACAGCUCCAUAUAACGAACAAGAACAGAGGAUUCAGGAUUAUAGAGUAAUUCAUUACAUAAGCCAUAAAAAAAAAGUUACUUGGAUCAUAUCAACAAUCAGCAUGGAAACAAGAAAGGAAAUGAAUUCGACCUAUCUCAAAAGGCAUGAGAAAACAUAGUUCGAAAAAGGGUGGGGAAUUCUCAAAAGAGAAACAUAAAUUAGAUCCGGUUAGCUAGAUUGAUAAAUCAUCAGGAACACACAAAAAAGGCAUACCCUUUUGGAUGUGUAUUAUUGAAUUCAUACUAACAUUUAUACUCCAACAUAACCAAAAAGGUUGAAACUUGCAAACGUUGCAACCAGAAGAAAGGAAAUAAAUUUUUAAAAAAAAAUCUUGCACAUAAUUAGUUUCAUCACCAAAUUUAAUUAUUUUUUUCCCUGAUUUAAUAUCUAUUCACUAAAAAUAUUACAACCGAAACUGAAUGAAUGAAAUAUGUGAGACAAUAUGGUGUUCCAUAAAUGUGAUAAGUAACACAAUAUCUUCAAAAUGAAAAUUGUGAGAUCUCAUGAACCCUCAUGGCUAAUCAAAAGGAAGAGAAAACUAAAAACAAACCACACCCAUUUUAUAUCAGAACAGUAGAUCACUUUUCAAUAUUCGCAAGAACAGCAAAUCAAAUCAACAAACCCCAGGAAAACUAUAAGCAAAAGCAGAACAAACCCAUUAACCAAAAAAACAUACAAUAUGCGAGACACUGCAAUCCAUUAGAACAUAUCACCUCACAAAAAAAAAGGAAGAACAGAGUAAACAGAAAAGGUCAUUUAAUCAAAGAACAGAGCAGACCCAUUAAUUAAAAACAGAGAAUAAAAAGAAACAGAUCAUCAAAUUGGAAAACAAUAAAAAGGAAAAUAGUUUAAUCAGAGGUGAACUAACCAUAUAUACUCAGCAAUAAUCUUCUCCGUUUUGUCAGAGAGAUCAAGAUUGACGAGAUCUGAGAGCAAAGCCAUCUUAAAGAACCUGCAGACGAAUUCUUUCUCACUCAAAACAACAGAGAAAUUUUCUCGGUCCGAGCUAUGAUUGUGUAUGCAGAGACGUUACAAUAGAGGGGGGCGAGUUGGUUUUAUAGAGGUUUUCUAUGUAUUGAAUAUUGAUAAUAUUAUACAAUUCCAAAACUAUUGGUGGUUUUUUAGCUAGAUAUAUUAAAAUAUUAGUAGGUUCUAAAAUUAGACAUAUAUAUGAUAUUAAUGCCGAUUCUUAGUAAUAUUUUUUUAGGUAACAUAUAAUGAGAAGGAUUCAUAUCAAAUAUUUGUUAUCAUACUAUUCAAGUAAACAUAUGUUUGGUUGUCUAUUAGAAAUCUGAGGAAUCUAGAUUUAAAAUUUUAUUAUUUUCGCUACUAAUAAUGCUAGAUAUAACUUUUUUUAAUAGUCAAUACUGCCCAUUUUUCUUAUGCACGUCUGAUCAAAUAAUGCCAUAGUCAAAGCUUAAGAGUUAAAUUAUAUCUUUAAUUUUAAAAUAGUGAUGAUAAUAAAAUUAGAAAUUUUUUAUAAUUCUCUUUCAGUUAAUCUCACUUUCAUAUAAAAAAAAUUAUAUAAAAAUAUAUGUAAAAAUAAUGCUCUCUUAAAAUUAUAAUUUAGAUAAAAAAUAAAAAAAGAAUGAUGACAUAAAUAAAAAGGGAAAAUGGAGUUGUUGCCUGUUUGAAGGGCUGGUAACUUAUAUUGACAGAAUCCAAUCAAGAUUUUCCAUGUUCUGACAUAGUUUAGCAGGUAACGACAUAGACGUAGUAGCAUCACCAAAUAUCAUAUGGUAUAUAUCUUUUUUUCUAAUACAAAAACAACAUAAUAUCUAAUUAUUUAUUACUCAAUACAAACAAUUGAUAUUUUUAUAAAUAAAAAUAUUAGUUUUAUAAGAUUUUUCUCACAUUAAUUAAAAGGGAGUUUAUUCACAUAUGAGAUAAGAUAUUAUAAAAUUAAUAUUUUUACUUGUGAAAAUAUUAAUUUUCUUUUAUAUACUAAAAGAAAUAUAAAUUAAUUAAUAAAAAGUAAAAAUAUAAUAGACCAAAAGUAAAUUAUACUGAAUAUAUAUAGUGAAUUCAAGAUAGCAUGUUGUUAAUCUUUAUUAAAUUUGUAAAUUUAUUGUGUGUAAUUUGAUAAAUUUAUACUGAAUGAGAUUGGCUGUUCUAAUUAGGUUCACAAAUCAUGAAAAUUAAUGCAAAAUAUUAAGAUCAAAACAAAAUCAAAGAUAGCUGGUGACUAAAAAAUUACUAAUGUAAAGCACUUUUUUAAUAUUCUUACUAAUAUAUAGUAAAAAGAAAAGAUUGGUAAGUGAUCAUUUAUCUUUUUCAUAAAGUAACAAUUAAAAUUAUUAUUUUUUUGUCUCUAUUUGAUGGAUCCGGUUAGCAUGAAGUUUAUUUUUUGGUAAGUUAGUCAAUUGGCCACUAAAAUCCUGACACACACAUAGAACCUCGCCUGCGUGUCAGUACUCUAUUGGUCAAUUGACCAAUUUACCCAAAAAUAAACUUCAUGCUAACCAAUCUAAUCAUAGAAAUAUAAAUAGCAUCCAAAAUGUAAAAUUAUGUUGCAUAUAAUUUAGUAAAAUGUUUAAACAAAUUUAUAGUAAUAAUAAUAAACAAGUUGAGUUAUUGAAAAACAUUACUAUUUUACACUGAAAAAUACAAAAAAAAAAAAAGAAAAAAAUUGUCUCCAAAAUAUUAACAUAAAAUAAAUAUGUCAGUUAGUGGAAUUUAUUAAUAUAAAAAAAUAAAAAUACUUAUCAUUUAUGUAAUUUUGUAGAAUUACUAAAGAUAAAUUUUUUAAAAAAUUUACUCUUAUAAUUUUUUUUAAUAUAUAUGUAAAUUAUACUUUGUCGAGGGAGUGGAAGUAAAUUAAAAUAGUAGUAGUAUUAAAAUUGAGAAUUUGGAAAUUAGUUAGAUAAGCCUUAUCGUUUCAUCUAAUUUUCGGGGAAGACUACAAAUAAGUAGAGCUCUCGGUGAAUAUCUUUACCAAGAUUUUUGAACCGGUAUUGAUCAUCGAAUUAGAAAAAUAUCAAUUCAAUAGGUUAUUGAUCUAAUCAGUAGUCGAACCGAACCGUUAUUAAUACAAUGACGUUAUUGAUAUAUAAAAAUAUAUUUUAUUAAUAAUUAAUAAAAUUUCAAAAAAUCUCUUUUUUUUAAAAUUAAAAUAAAAUAAAGUUGAGUUACAAUAUUAUUAAAAGUGAUUAAUUUUAAUAUUAAAAAAUAUUUAGUACAAAAAAAUGAAAAAUCGAAUCAUUGGGUUAAUUAACCGAUUUUACAGGUUGAACUAUCGGUUGAACCGAUAGGACAAUCUAAAUCAAUAAAAUCAAGUUAAAUCGGACCAGAGCAUCGAGUGUUUUAAUUUUUUACCGAUUGAACUUACUGUCCGAUCCAGAUUUGUGUUUAAUAACAAUGAUCACAAAUCCGGUCCGACCGGAUUUGUGUUUUCUCUCAUUUUACUAUGUUUGAUCACAAAAUUCAAGUCAACACAAUGACUAUCGUAAGUUUCCAUUAAAUUUUUUACUUAAUUUAUCUCUUGGGCCCUCCCCAGCUGGCAGCUCCCCCUCCCUCUCUACAAGUUGUUCGAAAAAUAAAUACUAAAUUUUUUUAUUCAAUACAUAAUACAUAUAAAAAUAUUAACACAUAGAACUUGAAUCAUGCGACUCACAAAUUUCUUAAUAUUUAUUUUCAGAUUCUAUUCUUAUGUAAAUAACGAAUUUCUUACCAUUUUAUAUUAAAAAAAAUAUUUUCACAAAUUUAGCAAAACAAUAGUCGAUGAAUCCAUUACUCAUGUAAAAAAAAUCUCAUGAAAAUUAUUUUAUUAUAAAAAUAUAAAUUCAUGUGGUUAAAAAAAUAAACGCAAAGGACAGAAUGAUGAGACUAAGGUUCUACACCUACCAAGUAAAUAAAUCUGACUUUUGAGUUAUUCAGAUUUAAUUUAUAAAAUUUAUCGAGUAUAAAAUAAAUUUUGAUCGAGACUUGUUUAACUAUUGAAUUAUGCACGGUCUCGAAUCGAGUCUGGACAGUUUAAAUUUUUUAAACAAAUAUAAUUUGAGUAUUAAUAAAAAUUUACAAUUUGAAAAGGUCCGACUAAUUUAUUCAAUUUUAAAAUUUAUUUAUAUUUAAAUUAUUUAUAUUUUGAAUUGAGUUUAAAUCUAACUUUUAAUCAAUCUAGUAUAAAUAAAACCCGAACUAUUUAAUUAAAAAGUAUGCAUCUUCAACGGUAGCUACGUCACAAAAUUGAUGCAAUAUGAUGUGUGCAGUGGGUCCAUCACAGAACGAACGGUCGAGAUUUUAUGGCGCUGAAAAUGUUUACUUUUGCUUCGGCAAUGUCACCUCACCUAACACCAUUCAAUUCAAUGAAUUCUUUAAAAAUACAAAAAAAAGUAAUGGAUUUUACUUAAACAAAAAAAUACUAUANNNNNNNNNNNNNNNNNNNNNNNNNNNNNNNNNNNNNNNNNNNNNNNNNNNNNNNNNNNNNNNNNNNNNNNNNNNNNNNNNNNNNNNNNNNNNNNNNNNNAAUGUCACAACAUCAAAAUCACUAUAAUUAGUGUUUGCUUAAUAUAAUACUCACAAUAUAGAUGAGGCACUUUUGUUAAUGUUAGGUACCCAUUAGGGGUCCAUCUAAUGAUUAUAGCAAUUUUUUGGAGCUUUUAAUUUUCUAAUUAUCAGCUUAGAAUUAAAUAAGGUCAGAAAAGUAUGUUUCAUUAUGUUCCCCUAAUAAAAGUGCUCGUUGGGAUGCUAAUUUAUUUUUAGUUUAAGUCAAUAUUUAUAAUUUUAAUGGAAUAGUAAAGAUGUGGAGUUAGUGGAAUAAAAAUUACAAAUCCGAUUAUCAUAAAGUUAAUUUUAUGGUAAAUUGGUCAAUUGACCAAUACAAUAUUGACACGCAGAGAGAGAUCACCUUCCGACCUGGAGAGCAAAUUAUUUGUCCCUAUUUUUCAUGUCUCCCUUGUAUUCCCCCUCUUAAAUUUUGACACAUAACCUUUUACUUAACACCAAUUAAUUCUAAAAUUAAAUAAAAGGUCAGAUGUCAAAAUUUAAGUGAAGACACACAAGGAGACAGAAAAAAUGGGGACAUAAGAUCUUCUCUCUCGGACCUGUGUGUUAAUAUUAUAUUAGUCAAUUGACCAAAAUUAAUUUCGUACUAACCACUUUUAAAAGUCGCAUCUUAAGACUUGGAAAUUUAAAAAUAGAAAAAAAAUGUGUGGCAAGUUUUGGUCAGUUUAUAUUUAUAUAGUUCGGUUACGCAACAACCCCCAACAUAUAUCAAAGUCAAACCAUGUAUUAUAUUCCUUUCUCAUAAAAAUAGAUCAUCUUAAUUUUUUAAAAUUAAUUUGAAAAAUUUUAAAUAUUUAAAUUGAUGUGAUUUAAAUAAAUUUUGAAAUAAUAUUUUAUAUUUAAUAAGUUACCAAAUAAAAAUUUUCGAUUAGAGAGAGAUUGAACUUCUUCUGAAGGGAUAUAUUUUAAACAAUUUGAAAAAAUUCAAAUCAAAUUAAAUAUCAAAUAUAUUUAUAUUUUGUCUUAACAUUUUAAAAUUCAUAAAAUCAAUUAUAAAUGUUAAAACAAAGUUCUUUUGGUAAACGGAGAUAGUAGUACAAGUUUUCCAUACUUUUGCUUUAUGGCAUGUUGAUUCCACUAAUUCAUAUUGGCCACUAAAAUUUUGAUUCUGUCUAGAUUGGAGAUGCAGAAACUCACGACUCUCACUCAAGAAUGAAUAAAUAUUUCAAAGAAAAUGAUAUAUAUAUAUAUAUAUAAUUAUUUAUUGAAUUUUUUGUUAUUAAUUAUGUAAAUAAGUAUUAAUGAAUUUUUUUUAUAAAUAUAUAUAAUAUGACAUGUCAUCUUUACAAUUAUACCAAAUAUUAUGUAUUAAUGUAAUUUGAAAUUAUAAUUUGAUAAAAAAAAUCACAAUAUGCAUGACUCACUUUAAUGUUAAAUAAAAGUCUCAAUUUUUGAGGAAGCACCACAUUAACAAAUUGUAUCCGGUUACAAUGAAGUUAACUUUAUGGUAAAUUAAUCAAUUGAUCAGUACAGUGCUGACACGCAGAGAGAGAUCACCUCCCGGCCUGCGUGUCGACAUUGUAUUGAUUAAUUGACCAAAGUUAAUUUUAUGUUAACCACUCCAACGAACUAUCUAGGUUAGGUAUUUUGUUCGAUAGGAGUCUCUUUCACAAAAUUAUUAUAAUUUCAUAAUAUAUUUUUUUGCUUUUUAAAUUUAUUAUGUGAUAAGUUUAUUGAUAAUAAUAACAAAAAAUACAAAGAAAUAUCGUAGGACAUGUGUCAUUUAAUAUUACUAUCACUAAAUAUAAAAUUCUAUUUUUAAUUUUUGUGAGGAGUUAAUACUCUUUAUGUAAAUUUGGCUCCCAAUAUUCCACUUUUCGUUCAAUAAUUGAUGUAUUGUGAAAUUAGAGAGUCAUUAACAUGAAGUUAAUUUUAGUCAAUUGAUCAAUACAGUCUCGACAUGCAGACAAUAAUAAAAAUUUACAUGAAGUUAUGUGUCAAGUGAUUAACAUGAAGUUAUGAGUAAAAAUGUUAAAAGUUACAUAUUAAUGGAAAUUAUAAUAGUUUUUAAAAUACAUAACAACAAAACGGAAGUAGUUAGUAUAAAGUUUAUUUUUGAAUAAGUUGGUCAAUUGAUCAAUAGAAUACUGACACGCAGACGAAAUUAUAUAUGUGUCAAUAUUCUAUUGGACAAUUGAUAAACUUAUUAAAAAAAUAAUUUCAUACAAAUCAGAUCCCAACAAAAUCAUAUGAUAUAAUAUCUUUUCGACACCGAGUAUAUAUUAUUAUUAUCCGGCCGCUAGUAACAUUCUACAAGAUGCUUAAGAAAGCACGAUUGGCUGAAAAUUGAUGCCUUGGAAUUUAAAUUAUGGCAGGCCUACAAGCCACUCAAAUAAUGAUUUUUUUUUUAAUUGAAAAAUUAUUAUGUUAAUGUUUGGACCAGAUUAUUGCUGUCACAUGCAGGGCAUAUGACCACGAGAAAUAGGACUUGACAGUUCUUUCAUUUAUGAUAAUGUGUACGGAAGCUUGUUGAUGAGCAGUUCAUGUGUCUUUUUAGGCUUUAGCUAUAAAAAUUGUUCAGAACCAGAAAGCUUAUGGGGCACCAUGACUAUCAGACAGCAGAUCCUCUUAUUCUAAAUUUUCUGUUUUGUUUGUGUCUUUUCAUUUAAAUUUUGACCCAUAAUCUUUUAUUUAAUUUUAAAAUUAAUAAUUAGUAUUAAAUAAGAGAUUAUAGGUCAAAAUUUAAAUAGAAAGACAUAAAAGAACAUAAAAUUUGAAGACAGAUGAUCUGCUCUCACACACUAUCAAGAAAGGUUAAGUUUGAAAAUGAUGGCAUUUUUUUUAAUUAGAUCUGAUAUUCCCACAAUGUUAAUAUUAAUCAAUCUUACUAAUUAUAUUCAAAUUCAAUGUUCGAACUAAUCCUAGCUAGCUUAACAUUUUGUGCUAUUUUGAUUAGAAUUGGUUACAAUUUUUUUAGCUUAUGUUUGUUUGUAAAAAUAUAUAUUUGGGAUUGUACUGUUUGUCUUAAUUUAACUCUACUUCGGACUAUCUAAUUCCUUUACUAGUGACUAUUAGUCUCUUAAUGUAGGAUUAUUAGUCUUAUAAAGUCAUUUGAAAGCUUAAAAUUAGAGGACUAUUAAUCCCACAUUACAUUAAUCAUGAAAUUAUAUAAUCCCUCAUAAAUAGUAUUGGAAAUGACAAAAAAUAUAGAGCUCUUCUAGGUGGACAAAAAAAUUGGACAUAAGUGUAUUUGAACUUCACCUAUUUAUAUUUUUACCCACCAUUAGGGGUCAAAAUAUAAUUAAUUAAAAUUCAAAUACACUCAUGUCUAAUUUUUAUGUCCACAUAGAAUUUUAAAAAUAUAUAUAUAGUUCUUAUGAUUAUUUAAUAUUUAUAGGACCUUCAUCAUAAAAUAAAAUAGUCCAAAGUAGUAUUUAUUAGCGAAUCAUAUCACUUGCCAUGUGUGUGAUUACAACUCUUAUCAUGGUAGGUCUACUAGUCUGUUAGAAUUAGAUAGAUAUUAAUUAGCAAGUUGAAAUUAGGUAUAUAGAUAUUAUCUCAUUCAUUGUGUUUGGGUUUAUCUUAAUUACUUAAUUAAUGUACAUAUAUAUAUAUAUAUAUAUAUAUAUAUAUAUUGUGUAAUAUCCAUAUAUUGGGAUAAUGAUAAAUAAUAAAAUUAUAUAUUUUUAUAAUGUUAAAUUAAUAUAAAUAGUCCGAUCACAAGCAUGUUUUUUACAAACAAACAUGACUUUAGUUUAUUUGAAUACUAUGUCAUUUUGUUGGUCAAUACAAAACAAACCAUCUACUAUAAAAAAAAUUGAAUAACAAACCUUUAUGUGACAGUUGGACAUGGACAUUGACUAUCUUAUGUGACAAUGAAACAUGUAAAAUUGUUUAAUUAAUCAUAUUGAAUUUUAAAUUCUUUAAUAUAUUUUUUUGAGUUCCAUGAAAUAUAUAUUAUUAUUAGAUGGUAUGUAAAAUUCUAGUUUUUCGGGUCAACCCUAUAUAAUUUAUGCUCUUUUUUUGGUGGUUGUUAUAUGAAGACUUGGCAUGCACAAGUCCAGUGAUUUGAGCUGAUUGCCAACUCCAUUAGUGAAUGGCAACAGUAUUUAAGUUUGAGUCCUCAAAAUUUUGUUAAUGCAUGUCUUUUUUAUCAUUACUAAGUACCAUGGUCAAAAUAAAAAUAACUCUUAGCCAAAAGGCUAUUGCUCCAAGAUUAUCACGUACGAAAGGCUAAGUUUGAAAUUAUAUGAUGAAUUUGUUUAAUCAGAUUAAUACUAGUUUUUAUGCUUGAUUAGGUCUGAUAUUCACAAUGUUAAUAUUAAUUAAUCAAACUAACUAUAUUUAAAUUCAAAUAUGCGGCGACUAAUUAAUCCUGGUUUCACAUUUUGUGUUAUUUAUAUAUAUCAAAAUUGGUUUCAAUUUUUUACGUAAACCCUAACAAGAAAUUGAAGGAAACGACGACGACGACGACGACGACGACGACGACGACGACGACGACGACGACGACGACGACGACGACGACGACGACGACGACGACGACGACGACGACGACGACGACGACGACGACGACGACGACGACGACGACGACGACGACGACGACGACGACGACGACGAUGGUGAUGACAACGAUGAUGAUGAUGAUGAUGAUGAUGAGGCAGCGAAAUUGACAAAGUAGACUCCAAGUCAAAUGACAAACACUUGUUCUUCUUUUUUUCCAGGCCAUAAUGACAAGGACUUGGCUCUAGCCAAUUGAUGCUUAAUUCCAUAACCCAUAGGGUCCAUAAAUAAUUUCGUGUUAUCUUCGUUAUUUUUGUAAGGUCACACUUCUUUCUAAUUUUUUUAAAACUAUAUAUAGUAGUAGGAACAAUUAAUAGAUCCCCCUCUUGUUGCCUUGGUUUAAACAGUCUUUCUAUCUAUCGCUUUGAAGCCUUCAACAUUAGUUUUUCUUUUGUUUCUUGUUAUAUGAAGACUUGGCAUUGCGAGACAGUUGCACAAGUCCAGUGAUUUGAGCUGUGAUUGACAAUAAUAUUUAAGUCUGAGUCCUUAAAAUUUAGUUAAGUCUUUUUUAUCAUUACUGAAACACUCAUAUAUGUUAGUCAAAGUUAUUCUUAUUUUAAGUACGUGUCAUGAUCAUAAUAUUGCUCGUAAAUACAGUGUCGUCAGUUUAUUCAAUUUAACUUAUAUUAAUAUGUAUUGAGAGAGAUAGAGAACAAUGUACGUACAUGCAUCAUGCAUGUGCAUUUCCCACUUAUAAGAUUUGAAGCAUAGAUUUCUAACGAGUAUAUAUAUAUAUAUAUAUAUAUAUAUAUAUAUAUUCCCCCUAGCUACCAAUACCAUUUCAUUUUUUGUUCACUGGUCACACACUAAUGCAUGCAUACUUUUGGAGGUAGUAUUUGUUCUUGGACAUUAAACAAAGACGAAAAAGCUCAUGCUUGGCAUUUCCCAAACUGGGAAGGCCACUUGUUGUUGUUGAUAAGAAUAAGAUAUGCUCAAAGUGACAGACCUGGGCGUCCUAUUUAUCCAUUCACUGGCCUAGGCCUAGGCCUAUGCCUAUGCCUAUGCCUAUGGUACAAGUAUCUGGUGCCAAAUUGGCAGGCUUUUAAUAUUUUUUCUAUUUACAUUGGUGCGUGGGUGAUAGUUACAAGAGAACAUUCAUCGGGCGGUCGGUCAUGUUUUUUUGAGGAACAUAUUCUACUAAUUAAUUAAUAUUCUUUUUUUUUUGUGCUAAAUAUAAAAUUUUUGCAUACAUUUUUGGAAAUUAAUUCAAGUAUUUAAGUGAUUACAAACUUCAAAUCUUAUUUUAGCACGCUAGCAUCUUUUAAAACUGUCAUAUUUAUUGUUGGAGGAACGAAUUUCAGAGUAUCGCAGCAGCAAGAUCACUCUGACUCUUAUAAUACCUCAUCGCGUAUUUAAGUCGUCUGCAAAGGAUUUACUAAUUAAUUCUAUGGUUUCUUAGUUAGUCAUACUAGAUAUAUUACAUUAGGAAGUUUCUAUAUAUGUGAAAUAAACCAUGCAUAUGAUAUGGAUGGUGUAAGAAUAUGUAAUGUGAAUGUGAUAAUAAGAACCGAUCGAGGGGAAAAAGGAAGCUAAUGGGAAUCUUUCUUGUCCUAAGUAAUGGAAGAUGGACAAAAAUAACAAAUGCAAGUGUUACAUCCAUCUUCCACUUGUUUAUCACUAGCCUUAAUUUGUAGCUUAGUCAUAUACAUACAUUUCCUAUAUAACUAUUGCCUAAUUUAUUACUAGAAUGCAUGGUUGGAUUCGAUUCACUCGUAUAUAUUCUUCUUUUCACCAAAUCAUAAACAAGUUGUACAUUUUUAAUAAACCNNNNNNNNNNNNNNNNNNNNNNNNNNNNNNNNNNNNNNNNNNNNNNNNNNNNNNNNNNNNNNNNNNNNNNNNNNNNNNNNNNNNNNNNNNNNNNNNNNNNUAUAUUUGCCUGUGCUUGGCAACACUUUGUUUACACAACUUUUUAUAUCUUUUAGUAAGUUCGGUACUAAAUAAAAUAAAUUGUACAAAAAAUGGUAAGUGCACUUAUUAAAAAGUAAAAAUAGUAAAUAUUUUUUUUUAAAAAAAAAACUCAUGAAAAUUACUUGCAAAGAGCGUUACUAGACUGCACCUAUGUCACUAAAAAUUGUGGAAGCAUCUAACUAAAUUUUUUUAUGAGUCGUGCUGUGUAUUACAAUAUAUUUUUCGAAUUACAAUUACGAAACUUAUUAAUACAUGAGAUUGAUAGAAUUAUAAAAGGAUCUCACUUAUUAUACAUUUUUCUAAAAAAGAUAUCACAAAUACUUAUCCACGUAACCGGCAACCAAAAAUGGACGUAUAUAUCAUUUUCCCUUAUUUAUGCACUAGGGGAGAUUAUUUGAAGUAUUUCGUGAAUUCUAAGGAGUUCUACUUCUACAUCUUUAGCAUGAAGAGCCCAUUACUUGCCGGUGAACGAUGAACAAGGUUGCAUUAGAAUGGGCUUAAGCAUUUAAAACAAAACAAAUAAAACUAAGUAUACUUGGGCUUAAAAAACCCACCAUUUCCCACACGACCCAGGCCCAUAAAAUACAAGUAUUUUGACAUUUUCUCGCUGGAAUUAAACUGUCCCUCUCUUCCCUUUCUUUUAUCGAGUAUUGUAAUGGUAAUAAAAUAAUAUAACAAAAUUUAAUUUGUUAAUAAUAUAUCGUAAAAAAUUAAUAUUUAUCGUAACAUAUUAAUAUUUAAUUAGUUAAUAAUUUAUCGUAACAAAUUAAUAGUUAGUCUGAUUGAUUAAAAUGAAUAUAAAUUUUUAGUAUUAUCUUUUAAAAUUUAUUUAAAAAGAUAAAAGAUAAAUAAAUUAAUAUUAAUAUAAAAAUAAUAUAAUAAAUUAAUUUAUUAAUAUUUCUUUAAAAUUUACAAAUGAUAAAUAAUAAAAUAAAUUUCACUAUUUAAAAAACAAAUAAAAAGGGACGGAGGGAGCACAGAUGAUAUUCCUCAUCAAAUCUACUUGCAAGCAACAAACACUAAAUCCGAAACGGACGGUAACCGGCCAGACGAGACUCACUGCCCAAUGAGAUGUGUACAAGUGGAAGGAUGGGAUUAAUUGCCCACUUGUUCAUAUUGUAUUUUUUUCCCUUCUAGAAAUGAGGAAUAGACCGACCUGACGUUUGAUUAAAAAUUCAGACUCAAAAUAUAAAUAAUUUAAAUAUAAAUAAAUUUAAAAAUUAAACAAAUUAUUUAAACUUUUUUAAGUUAUAAUUUUUUAUUGAUACUCGAAUCAUAUUCAUUCGAAAAGUUCAAACUAUUCUGAUUCAAUUCAAAAUCGUGCUUGACUCAAUAACUAAACGAGCCUUAAUAAAAUUUUAUUUUAUAGUCAAUAAAUUUUAUAAAUUAAAUUUAAACCCGUCAAUAUUUAGCUCGACUUCAUUUAGAUUCUUAACCACAACAUCCCAAAAAAANNNNNNNNNNNNNNNNNNNNNNNNNNNNNNNNNNNNNNNNNNNNNNNNNNNNNNNNNNNNNNNNNNNNNNNNNNNNNNNNNNNNNNNNNNNNNNNNNNNNUUCGAGAAAUGUCGACUUAUGAAAUAACAGAAAGGUGGGGACAUGAAUAAUUUCUGAAAUUGUAGGCGCCUCUAUUUUUUAAUUUUAGUCAUUUUCAUACUUCAUCGAGUCACAUCAAUUGAAAAGAUGUACUACUACUUAAUAAACAUAAGAAAAAAGUCUUGUCAGACAUGAAUUUGAGAUCGGAAAAUUGGAUAUUUUUUAUUUUUUUAUUUAUUUGUAAUUAUCAAAAAAUAUAUAGUAUUUAUUUUAACUGAAAUUUUUAUAAAUUAUAGUAUUUUAAGUGUAAUUUGGAUACAUAUAUAAAAACAGGGUUGUACAGUCUAUUUUUGUAUAUAUAUUCAAAUUACACUUAAAACACUAUAGUUUAUAAAAAAUUCAGUUAAAAUAAAUACUAUACAUUUUUUGUGAAUCACAAAUAAAAAAAAAUAAAAAAAUUGAAAAUAUCCAAUUUUUUGGUCCCAAAUUCCUGUCCGUGUAGAACUGCUCUAAACAUAAUAAUCAAAGAAACUGAUAUUAUUUUGAUUUACUUUUUUGCAAGACAAAUUUACUUUCUGAAAGUUUGUCAUGAAUCACAAAUAAAAAAAACUUAGGAAUAUAAUGAUUUUAGUAGUUAGCUCAUGUAAUUUUUUGGAAUAUUUUUGUAUUAAAUUUUACAAUUUUUUUUUUGUGUACGAAAAAUGAAAAGUCAGUAAGAAAUUCAAAACUCUAGACAUAAUACAUUGUGUGUACAACGUCAGGGUUAAAAUUCAGGAAUGUUUCGCAAUUAUCGUGUAAAAUUCAGGGAUCUUUCAAAUUUUUUUACUUUGUGGUGACCUAAUAAUAAUGAUCGACAACCCAAUAUAGAUUAGGAAAUAAAUGAUAAUUGGAUGCAGUCACCUAAUUAAGACUUCCAACACGAUAUUAAGAAAAUUAUGAUUUUUCUGUCGGCUAAUAUGUUAUUUCUAAUUUUGGGUAAUUUUUCUAUAUCUCCAGUUAGGAAAUAGUGGGGAUGAGAGUGGGAAGUUAAUUUUAUUUAUCUUUGCCAUGUUUUUGGUUUUUAAUGUUUAUUUUUUGUUCAGAUGUAUACCAUAUAGAGUGGAGGAUGGAAAAAACUUAGAAGUUCUAGUCAUUAGCUCACAGAGAAAAGGCAAAGGGAUGUUGUUUCCGAAGGUACUUACGGCGAUUUAGUUGUGCCAAUUUACUGCAAAAGUUGCUAAUAUUUCAUUCACAUUAUUAUCCUACUGUUUUACCAGGGUGGUUGGGAAAAGGAUGAAUCCAUUGCGGCUGCGGCUGCGAGGGAGACAGUUGAAGAAGCUGGAGUAAAAGGCAUUCUUGAGGUUAGUUAUUCUCUGUACUUAAAUUUUUUCUUCUUUUUUUAAAUUUAGCAUGAAAUUGAGUGAUAUAUAGCAAUUUGGCAUGUUAAACUUUGAUGAUCCUUUGUUGAUAUCAAUGAAAUGUUUUCUUCACAAAUUCACAUACCUGGAGACAUAUUGAAGCAUGAACUAUUGCUAAAGAUAGACACAUACUUUACAAACAUUAUUUGUUGAAACAAUGCACAACUAGAUUGCACUUGUAAUGCUUUUUGAAGAAGAAUGGUUAAUCAUUUUUUUUUUGGGGUGGGGCUGAUUCGAGAGGCAAUAUCUAUUUUAUUCAUCAUCAUUUCCCUCGGGCAUGAAGAUAACAAACUAAACAUACAUGUGAAUUUGAUGUUAUAUAAACAUUUACUAUAUUUUCUGAAUGGUUGAAAUCUUAUACUAGUAUAUGAAACAUGUUACGGCAGGAAGAGUUGGGUCAAUGGAAUUUCAUAAGCAGUGGGAAUGGCGUUUAUUAUGAAGGACAUAUGUUCCCUUUAUGUGUUGAGGAGCAGCUGGAUUUUUGGCCAGAGAAAGACAUCCGUCAAAGAGUAUGGGUAAGUUUGAACGCUCAACUAACUUUGCCUUAUAAUUUCGCUCCAGCCUUUGGGUUAUGAAACAGAAUUUCUGAUUCUAUGUGCAACUUAUUUCCUAUAGAUGAGUGUCCCAGAAGCUAAAGAAGUUUGCCAGCAUUGGUGGAUGAAAGAAGCCUUGGAUCGAUUAGUAAACCGUCUCGAAUCUCUAGAGAAGCAUGAAUAGGGCCUUUCACUAUAGCCUAGUGAAUCCAAUUAGAUCUAGCUUGUACAUAGGAAAACUGCGAUUCAAAGUUUAGACCAGAAGAUUAUGUAGGAUCGAAUCAACUGACUCAACAAACUUUAAUUCGAAUGCAGCUUAGGAUGAAUGUGGUGAUUUGGUGGUAAAACUAUACUACCUUUCUUUUGAAGAUAUACAACAUUUCUUUUUCAAGUUUGAAACUUGAUCCAUGUAUUUCUUCAGGAAGUUUGUUUAUGUUUUCCUUCCAAAUUCUAGAAGAAAGAUGUACAUUUUUUGUUGAAUAAUAUUAUUGGGUGGUCCCUGAAAAAAGAAAAUUAGUAGUUCAAGCUGUUCUUUUCCAGCCCAAGUGUAUGUAUGUGCAUGUCCUGAUCUGGUGCACAAUCUAGAGGAAUAUUCUUAUUCAUUUAUAGUUGCAUUAAUUUAACUUGACUAACAUAGUAGAAAAUGAUAUACUACUGUCCUAGUUGGUAUUUGAUGGGAUGUUUGUUAUGUGGACUAAUGGACAUGGAGCUGCUGCUGCCUGUGCUUGGUAAUCAUCACAGAAAAUGAUGAUUGUAGUCGAUUAUUUGAUCCAAAUAAAUAAUCACAUUGUGGCAGGAAAAAGUAUCUAAAUUUUAGAGUAUUCCGAACUCAAAUAUGCCAUUUACUUAUUUAUCUUCAUUACAAGAUUAUCUAUCAAACCAAAUCAAAUCCAGAUCUCUGUUAAUAUGAUGAUCCCACACUUGCUUUGGCAAUAAUAUUUAAUCAUGACCCUUGUGAUGAGCUAAUUUGGAAAGAAUCACUAAAACGAAAAAGUUCAGAAUUCAACUCUUUAGUAGAUAAGCACACUGAGCUUCUUCAAUAUUUAGUCCGUCACUUUGAUUUUUUUUUUAAAAAAAAAAGAAUAAGGAGAAAGUUGUUCUUAGAAUAUUUCAUGUAUAUAAUAAUUUUGAUUUUGGCAUGUAUAGAGAAAUGAAAUUUGGAGUCUCAUAUCGGGAUGGAAGUAGUAUAAGUAAUGGAGACGUGUUAUUGCUUUGUUAUCCAGAAAAAAGUUGUACAACAAGCCCACUGACCAACAUCAUGAAUUACUCACUCAAAUUAUAGCAGUCCAUUUCAUUUGAGAGAGAGGAGACAACCAACAAAUGUCCCUUGACCAUUGGGCCAAAUGUUAGGCUCUAUAUAUAUUUGAUUUUUCCCAAAUUUUAGGAUUAAGGUCUAUAUUUAAAUCAAUGCCAAGGCAUGAAUUAUGAAUAUAUAAUAUUUUUGAUUAGGACUGCACUAGUGAGAUUUUGUUUUAUUCAUAUUAUUAAAUUUAUUUUUUAGUUUGUUUUAUUAUGUUGCGAUUUUGCAUUUGAAAUUUUGAAUUUUAGGAUGAAUAUUUUUCAAGAUCUAACGCUAUUAAAUCAAUUUUUUUUUUGUUGAACCUAUUUAACAAUCAAUUAAUUAUGUCUCGGUCCAAAAAAUAAAGUCCAAUUUAGUUGAAAUUUAUAUGAAUUUUAUUAAUAUUUGUUAUUUAACUAUAAUGGCACCCCGCGUCUGCCCCGGAUUAGAUAUACUACUAUAUAUCUUAACUCUUAAGUUAUUCGACGUAGGAAAACAUAUACUAAAGCUUUUCCAAUACUUAUUUUGGAUCGGAUAAUAAUUUUCCAGAAACCUAAACAUAUUAUUUAUUGCUCUUCCUCUGCAUGGCUAUUGGCUAGUAUAUUCCAACUUUUUAAGAUAAUGGAAAUACUAAAUUACAACCAUAUAUAUAUAUAUAUAUAUAUAUAUAUAUAUAUAUAUAUAUAUAUAUAUAUAUAUAUNNNNNNNNNNNNNNNNNNNNNNNNNNNNNNNNNNNNNNNNNNNNNNNNNNNNNNNNNNNNNNNNNNNNNNNNNNNNNNNNNNNNNNNNNNNNNNNNNNNNAUUACGUUUCACUCACUUUUCAUGUACUAGUAGUAGUACUAUAGUAUAUAAAAGAAGCUCAUUAAUGCUAGAGACCUAGCUAAUACCAAAGUCCAUAACCUUAAUUAAUUUCCAUGGCGGCGACACUACUCUUCACAUUCCUCUUUUCUCUCUCAUCUCGCAUAAUUCUUUCACAUUCCAUUUCAGACUCCUUCGUCUAUGGUGGCUGCUCACAGCUAAAAUACGUACCAAACUCGCCAUACGAGUCAAACCUCAACUCACUCCUCACCUCCCUCGUCAACUCAGCCACUUACUCGUCCUACAACAAGUUCACCAUCACCGGCUCAAGCCCACAGGACGUAGCCUACGGUCUCUACCAAUGCAGAGGUGACCUCGCAAUGCCCGAUUGCGCCACCUGUGUGGCUCGCUCAGUGAGUCAACUCGGGGACGUGUGCAAACAAACGUCUGGUGGGACUGUACAGUUAGAAGGGUGCUUGGUCAAGUACGAUAACACUAGCUUUAUUGGUGUACAGGACAAGAGUGUGGUGAUGAGGAAAUGUGCGCCGUCGAUUGGGUACGAUACCGAUUUGAUGAACCGUCGAGAUGCGAUGUUGGCGAGUUUGGGUGGGGGCGGUGGGCCUUACAGGGUUGGUGGGUCAGGGGAUGUGCAAGGGUUGGCGCAGUGUUUGGAGGAUUUGAGUGUGGGUAAGUGUCAGGAUUGUGUAGCGGAGGCGAUCGGACGGUUGAAAAGUGAUUGCGGCGGUGCGGUGUAUGGUGAUAUGUUUUUGGGCAAGUGUUAUGCUAGGUACUCAACUAGCGGAGCUCGUGUGUAUGCAAAAUCAAACCAUGGUAAGAAAAUUUUCACUAGUACGUUACGUACACAUAUUUUACUUGCAUGAUUCAAUUUUAAAUAUUACUUUCAGUUCCAAGUUAUUUAUUUAUAAUCACAUGAUUUACUUAAAAAAAAUUCCAUCUUCUAAACUUUUAGUGUAGUACGUAUUUCAAUUCAAUUCCGCCGUCUAUUUAAUUUUCAUGGAAAACCAUGCAUGCAUCUUAAAGUUUUUUGUUUUUUAAUUUUAUUUAUUUAUUUAUGGAUGUGUUUGAGUGAAAUUUUUUUUCCAAUGCCAAUAUAUACAGGUAGUGGUAGUAGUAGUAAUUCUGAUCACAAUGAUGCUGAGAAGACAUUUGCGAUUGUGAUUGGACUAUUAGCUGGGGUUGCACUGAUUAUUAUUUUCUUAACUUUCGUGAGAAAGGUGAUUGGAGGAAAUGGUAUGAACUUUAUUUAUUCAUUGCCUGCCCGCCUUUUAUUUCUCAAUUUAUAAUCUUUUAAUUUAAUUUAAGUUAUUAGCAUUUCCUUUGCCAAAAUUCAGACAUAUAUAUAUAUAAUUAAUGAAUUUAGGGUUGCAUGUGUAUUUAUUUUUAAAUAUAUAUUUUUCUUUUUGCAGGUAAAUAAAUUAAAAACAAUGCAAAGCUUUGAGACCCUAGCUAGCUCGAUCCAUCGUUCAACAUUUUGAUUUGCUUUCUGUAUCCCUAAUUUAAUUUUGGCUCGAUCGAUCUUUCUAGAUCAUGAUGUCAACUUAAUUGCUUUGGUUUCUUUUGGGAUUACUUUAUGAUCGAUCGAUCGUGCAUGAAAUUAAGAUGUAACGAUUUGCCAAAAGGGCGGGCAUGCAUGUAAAGUACUCUCAAUCAAACAAACUUAAAAGAAUCAAACAAACUUAAAAGGAGGAAAGGAAAGGAAAGGAAAGGAAAGGAAAAGAAAAGAAAAGAAAAUAUGGGCUAAGAAUAUUCCACUCUCCUUUCCACUCAACAAAGUUGUACUGCAUGCAUGUUUAAUAAAUAUUGUCAAGAAAUUAAGUGCCAUAUUCUUUUUUUAAAGCUGCAAUUUAUAAAUAGAUGUUAAUUUCCUUGUCUGAAUUUGUUAUAGUUUUUCUUCCGUACUUUGUAUUCAUGCAUGCGUGUUGCCUCCCUUCAAUUCGUUUUACCAAAUAAUCAAACUCAAACAUUAAUUAAUUUAAUAAGGCACACUUUAUUGUUUAUGAGAGUGUAUAUAUAUAUAUAUAUAUAUAUAUAUAUAUAUAUAAUUAGUGGACCCAGUUAUCUUUAACUUUGAGUAUUACAUGGAACUUAUCCCAAAUCCAUAUCUUUUGGAUCUUAAUUGGUAUUUAUUUUCAGAAAUAAAAUUAUCUUUGCCGCCUUUUAUUAAAAAAAUAAAUAAAAGAAAUCAUGAUAAUUUAUUGAUCAUUUUCAUGAUAUUAUAAUUAAUCUCCUAAACUUAAAUCUUUGAUAUUAUCCUAGUCAAAUCAACAUCACAAUAUCCAUGCAUAAUCAGGAUCCAAAAUCAAUCCUUUUGGUUCCAAACUCGCUAGUAUACACAAGAAGUCACUUAUUCUCAUAAUAUUUAUGACGACUCGAAUUUGACCUAAAUUCAAAAUAAGACUACUCCACAUAUCAAAUCAAUUGACUCAUCUAGCUGUGUCCCACAUAAUUAGAUAAAAUAUCGAUCAUGACAAAUAAUUAUAUAUUGUGUGUAUAUAUAAACAUUCAGUGAUACCUCCAUCGAUCGAGCAGACCUCAAAUAAUAUGUGUAAUGUGUUUCUUCAUCCCACUAGAUAUACUAAUUAGUAGGAGUAAGGGUUUUGGUAGGAUAUCAAGCUCAUUUAUUGGGGAGGGAAUAAUGUAUAAACUCCCGCGAAUUUUGUUUUUCUUCAUUUUUACACCUUUUUUAUUUUGGAACGUACCAAGACGAUCGCAUGUUUUCUUUUCUUUAAUUAAUCAAUCAAUCAAACGUAAUGUGUAUUUGAGUUUAAGAAUUUAUUAAUACGUAGUCCGAUCUUGAUUUUAACUUACUAAUGUUUUGAAAUUCAUAGGUUUGAGCCCAUGUUAUUUUUCUAAAAGACUUGAAUUUCUGCUUGAUUAAUUGAUUGCUAGCUAUAUCCUAAAUCUAACAUUCUUGAAUUGAUUUCCCGUUCAUAAAUGGGAGCAAUAAAUAUUAAAUGUAUGGAGUAGUUGGUAAAUUAAAUCCCAUAAACUAGACUAAUUUUAUCCCACAUGCAUUUUCUUAUCAUCAUCAAACUCUGACAGAUUCUAUGGUUAUUGUUAUCAUUAUAAAUAAUCUAAAAGUCUCUUUUUCUUCCCCCUCGCAAUAAAGAAGAAUCAUUUUGUAUAUUCUCUCAACCAUUAUUAUAAAUAUAUAUAUAUAUAUAUAUAUAUAUNNNNNNNNNNNNNNNNNNNNNNNNNNNNNNNNNNNNNNNNNNNNNNNNNNNNNNNNNNNNNNNNNNNNNNNNNNNNNNNNNNNNNNNNNNNNNNNNNNNNACACAAAGGGUAUCUAUGUAUACAUGGUAUCUCGUGCACGAAUCUUCCUUUUAUCACCAAUCACCACGCAAUUGCUAGGACCCCAACUUUAAAACAAAGUACAGAAAAGUGAGUCAAUUAAGCCGACUUCUUUCGGUACUGUUCGAGGAAUGACUUAUUUUAAAAUAAUUUAUAAGUUAAAAUAUAAAUUGAGUUUUAAGUUCUUACUUAUAAGUAAAAGUGUUCGGCUAAUAAUAAUUUAUAAGUAAGUCAUAAAUUAAGUUAAAAUAAGUUAUGAAUUAAGGUGUUCGGCUGAUACUAACUUAUAAAUUAAAAUAAAAUAUAAAAAUUACUAAAAAUGAUAUUAGAAAAAGAUACAUAGAUUCAAUAUCAUAUCGAAAGUUAUUAUAGGUAACAACUUAUUUCAACAUCUAAUUGGUAAACACCUUAUUAUUUAACUAGCUUAUUGUUAAAUAACUUAUUAUUUGUAAACAUCUUAUUAGUUAAAUAACUUAUUGUUAAAGAACUUAUUAUUUAAACAGCUUAUUAUUGCUAGACAAUUUAUUAUUUAAACAGCUUAUUGGUAAAUAAUUUAUUAUUUAAACAACUUAUUGAUAAACAACUUAUUAUUAAAAAAAGCUUAUUGGUAAAUAAAUUAUUUUUUAAACAGCUUAUUUGUAACCAACUUAUUAUUUAAUCAGCUUAUUAUUGGUAAACAAGUUAUUUAAACAGUUUAUUGAUAAACAACUUAUAAUUUAAACAGCUUAUUGGUAAACAACUUAUUUUUAAACAGUUUAUUGGUAAACAACUUAUUUAAACAGCUUAUUGGUAAUCAACUUAAAAUUUAAACAGGUAAACAACUCAUUAUUUAAAAUAACUUAUUGGUAAACAACUUAUUAUUUAAACAGUUUAUUGGUAAUCAACUUAAAAUUUAAACAGGUAAACAACUCAUUAUUUAAAAUAACUUAUUGGUAAACAACUUAUUGAUAAAUAACUUAUUUUUUAAACAGUUUAUUGAUAAACAACUUAUAAUUUAAACAGCUUAUUGGUAAACAACUUAUUAUUUAAACAGUUUAUUGGUAAUCAACUUAAAAUUUAAACAGGUAAACAACUCAUUAUUUAAAAUAACUUAUUGGUAAACAACUUAUUAUUUAAACAGUUUAUUGGUAAUCAACUUAAAAUUUAAACAGGUAAACAACUCAUUAUUUAAAAUAACUUAUUGGUAAACAACUUAUUGAUAAAUAACUUAUUUUUUAAACAGCUUAUUGGUAAACAACUUAUUAUUUAAAACAGUUUAUUGGUAACCAACUUAUUAUUUAAACAACUUAUUAUUCCUAAACAACUUAUUAUUCCUAAUCAGCUUAUUAUUUAAAUAGUUUAUUGGUAAACAACUUCAAAUUUAAACAGCUUAUUAGUAAACAACUUAUUAUUUAAAAUAACUAAACAACUUAUUAUUUAAAAAGAUUAUUGAUAAACAAUUUAUUAUUUAAAACAACUUAUUUAAACUAUAAUUUUAAGCUAUUUUACACUCAUGAAGAGAUGAUCAUCAGGUUAUAAAUUGAUGGUAGAGCUGGAUAGGAUCUGAUUGUCAAACUUCAUAUUCCACUGAUGAAGCAUUGUUUGUAAAAGAAAUGAUGUUAUAUCUACUUCCAAAAAAUAAAAAAUAAAAAGAAUAAAAGUUUAGUGUAUGAUAAUAACACGAUUGUAAAACUUAAAUAAAAUUUCCAAUCGAGAUGUGACAAUGCCUCAUGAAAAAUACAAUAAUCACAUUUAUAAUACUACCUUAGUUCCAAAGGAAAAUUACAAUAAUAACCUUCAUAGUACUUGAAAUUGACAUGUUUUGAGCAAUUAUUUUUAUCUAAAUUAUUAUGACAUCUAUAAAUUGUUAUCAAUCCUUAAUAUUAAGUAACAUUUUUCCGAUGUAUAUAUAUGUAUAUAAUAUAUAUUAAAAAUUAUAAUUAUAUGAUAAAUUUUACUCUAAAAUUAGAGAUACAAUUUGAUUUUUGAGGUUAAACAACCGUAUAUUAAAUUUUAAAAUUGGCAUGCUUCGUAAAAGUUUGGAAUGAAAUAAAUGUUAUGAUUACUAGUUUUUGUUAUAUAUUAUACAAUUAUAAUAAUUAUAUCAACUAAAAUUAAAUAAAUUUACAUCAAUUUAAAAUUUAAUAUGUCUUUAUUUGGUCAAAAAAAUUAAAUUAUAUAUCUAAUUUUGCAAGGGAAGUAUAAUAUAUAUUAAUAUUCAAACAGGGCUCAAUCACUAGUAUUCAUCCAAAUAAAAAUUAAGUUUCACAAUUAGAAUUGAUUAAUUACCCGAAUGGACUUCCAGCCCAUUCAAUUUUUUAAUUUACUUGAAUCGCUUUCAGCUCUCCCCCUCCCUCCAAGCAUUCAUAUUUACCUAAUAGUUAGGUUUUAGGCUUUGAAGCCUUAAUAGCCUCUGCAGAACCACCACUUCCCCAGCAAUAUUAAUCUUUCUUCUUUUCCUCAGGCAACUUACGAUAGCAGGGGAAGAGAAAGACAAAGAGAAAGAGAAAGAGAAGGCAGAAGGCUAUAGCAGGGGUAAACAUGUAAUUUAUCAAGACAGAAGAUGGGAAAAAUACUCAUUACAUUUGGUUAAAAUAAUUUAUUAAGAAUAAUUUAUAAAUCAUUUUUUUUUAUAAAUUACAAAUUAUUACUUAUUUUUUUUGACUUAUUAGUCAUAAAGUAAGUCAAUCCCGAACUUAUAAGGAGCUCUCAAACAGACUCUUCAUCUACUAAUAACAUUUCGGUUAAUUUAAUUUGAGUAGAAAAUGUCAAUUUGAAAAUAUAUAAAAUUCUGUCCGAUUAUUAUUAUAUAAUUUGAGAAGUUACUCUAGGGGAUAGUAAGUUUUGUUACUACAUAAUUUAAAUUCUAACGUUCCGUUAAAAUUCUUACACUAGGGGUAGUAGGUUGGUUGUGUUACGUGCUCAAUAUUUUAAUUUAAGAGGCUAGCAGAUACUCCAUUUUUUGCUGGUUUUCGUUUUAACUUUUAAUUGUCAAUUGCUAAAGCAGGUGGAUUCAAGAAAAACGGGUUUUGAUUGUAUUGUAAAUUGCUUCCCUUCUCCAGGGAACUUUAAACAAUGAAUUAAAAGCGAACUAACUAUAACGACGAUUCGAACCAUCAUCAUAAUUAUGUCGUCGGCUUUGUAUGUUAUAGCGAUAUAAAAAAUUGUCGCUAUAGCCGAUUCGUUUUUGAUUCACAGGAGAAGGGGACCGUGUAUAUAUAUAUAUAUAUAUAUAUAUAUAUAUAUAUAUAUAUAUAUAUAUAUAUAAUUUUUUUAGUUGAGUUUUGUUUUUACUUAAUAUUUUAUAAUUGUGCUAUGUUACUAGUGUACCCUUUUUAUAAUAAUAAUAAUAAUAAUAAUAAUAAUAAUAAUAAUGAUGUAGUAAAGAAAUUUAUUUUGCAUACUUAAUGGGGCUAAUUAUUUUACUUUGAUCAAAUAGUUGGCUUAAUUAAUUGAUCUUGAUUAAUCAGUUGGGCUUCAUUGAUUUUUCAUGAUGUUAUUUAUCCUUUUGGGCUGGAUAUGUUUCUUUCUCCUGGGUCUUGUACUGUUUGUUUGUUGAAUGUUUGGUUUUCUCUGUAUUUGUUUUUUUUUAUAUUUUAAAUUCUAUUUUAGAGGCCCAACCCAACUCAUGUCAAUCUUGAUAGAUUUGUUGGCUUGUUUCCUUGUUUGCCCAUGCCUCAGUUUUUAGUUGCGAUUUGCCUCCACAGGCUCCCUUCCCCUCCUACCUUUUUAUUUGUCUUUUUAAAAAAUAAAUAUUUAAUUUUAAUUUAUCGUUUGUAGAUUUUAAAAAAAUAUUAAUGACAUUUUUUAUAUAUUAUCUCGACAUUAAAUAUUAAAUUAUUUUUCUUUAAUCUUUCCCAAUAAAUUUUAAAAAAAUUAUAUGGAGAGUUCAUAAAUAUUUUAAUCAAUUAAAUAAAACAUUAUAUAUAUUUUUUAAUCUUUAUAUUUUCUAAAAGAGAGUAACUACUUAACAUCCUCAAAGGUUAUUAUGUUUGCAAAUUUAUUAGAAGUCAGCUGCCUGCACAAGUAAAGCAUUGCCCACAAAGAGAGCAAAAAUGCCUUCCCUUAGCUACGAAGCAAUGAAUAAUACUGUGGAAUUUUUCAAUUUUAUUAUAAAGUCAAAGUUGGAGGGCUCGGGCUCGGGCUCGGGCUCGGGCAAUGAAGUAAUUGUUGUAUAUUAGUGUAAAUGACUCAAAGCUUAACCCACUCUAAAAAACUAAAACCGGCAGGUUUGCCAUAAUUUGUAAUUCAUUCUUUAUAUUACUUUUCUGUUUUACAAAAUUUUUUUUUAAAAAAAUCUCAUUUAUAAAUUGUCGAAUAUUAAUAAAUAUAUUUUUAAUUAUUAUCUAAAUACUUUUAAAAUAAUAAAUGUUAAUAUAAUAAUAUGAUUACACGACUACAAUGUCAUUUUGUACUACUAAUAUACUUUAAUAGAUUGUAAUGAGAAAAAGAGUGGUAAUUAAACUGUUAUGUUGAAGAAAUAAAAUGGAGACAAAAUAAAAUGAUUUUAAGUUUAGUUGUUGGAGGUGGUGGGUGUUAUCAUAUAAUACAAAAUUAUCACAUAUAUUUAUUUUAUUAAAAUUAAUUUUAUUCUACCUUCUCCACAUCUAAUAAAAAAAAUAAAAAAUAAAAUAAUUUAUCGUCAAAAACAAUCAUCAAUUAUAUUAUUUUUAUUUCAUUAUUUCUCCAAUUUCAUUCCCACAUUCCAAAUGUUAAAUGUAACGGUAAAGUACACAAUUACCAUGCACACGGUUUAAUACUAUGCCUCUGGUGUGCUACGGAUGUUGUAAACGCGUUUAACUCAUCAAGUUAGACCGAACCGGGUUCGAUAACUACAACUUCCCCGGUCUAAACCUCAACCCCGUUGUGUACAAGAACCGAGCUUUUCUCCUCUUUUUCUCACUCACCAACCUGCUCACUCUUUCUUUCCUCCAUUUUUCAUCUUCUACCUUUUCUUUCCCCCAAAGAAACCCCACAAGCUCCAAGAUCAAGAGAAAAUGGCGUUGGAGUGGGUUGUUCUAGGCUACGCUGCAGGCGCAGAAGCCGUAAUGCUCCUCCUCCUCACGAUCCCAGCUAAUUUCAACCCACUUCGCAAGGGCCUAAUCGCCGUCACUCAAAACCUCCUAAAACCCUUCCUCUCAAUCGUACCCUUUUGCCUAUUUCUCCUAAUGGACAUUUACUGGAAAUACGAGACGCGUCCCUCCUGUGCGGAGCAAUCCUGUUCCCCUUCCGAGCAUCUUCGCCACCAGAAAUCCAUCAUGAAGAGCCAGCGCAACGCCCUUCUCAUCGCCGCCGCUCUCGUCUUCUACUGGCUGCUGUACUCGGUUACCUCCCUCGUUGUUCGAAUCGAUCUAUUGAACAAACGGGUCGAGAAAUUGAAAUCCCAGGAUUGAUUCGAGAUAAGAUGAAACCCCCUUUUGUUUACCGUCUUAUAUCUAUCUGUUGGAGUUUGUUUGUUUUGGAUAUGUUUUAAUAUUAGGAUCUAUGUUUUGCUUAUGUAUUAUUGGUAGUACGUUCGGUUUAAGUUUGAUACUUGUUUGAUUUGGUGUAUUGGGGUUUAUAUCAAAAUAUGGUUAAAUGUUCUGCCUUUAUUGUUGCAAUUGAGGAUUUCUUCGUGUUUUGGUUGAAUUUAUAUGGGUUUCUGAAUGUAUGAGCUAGGAGUUAACAGAACAAUAUUGUCAUAUUGAUAGAAUUAAGUAAUGUUGAUUUUAUGGUUUUCAACUUGUUAUUUGUGAAUUUCUACACAUUUUCAUUUUGCACUGGGCAUCAAGGGGUUUUCCGUAUAGUUACAGUAUCUCAAAUCUGUAUUUAAGUUUUCUUUUCUGAUGGGCUUGAUAGAGAGUAAUUCAGUAUUCUUAUAUCCCUCUGUUCCACAAUCUCACUUGCAAAAUUUGCAGACUUUAACUAUAUAUUUUCUUCCAUGUUUAUCCCUAAAUAUACUGUGUUUAGACUUUAGUGUAGUAGUGGUGACAUUGUAGUGAAAUUGUGUCAUUGUAUCAUUUUGUACUAUCAUCAACAAAAAAUCUUUUUUUUUUCUGUGGAACAAGUUUUUUUUACAAAUGAGACUGUUGUUGAAUGGAGGGAGGGAGUAUCAUUUUAAUGCUAUGAUUUUUAGAUGUAUAUGAAUAGGGUAUUUAUUCUUUUAUUUGUCUGUGUGGAUCUGUGGGAUGAUGCUUUUGCCCAUAGCCUAGGGAUCGGUCUUUCAUAGAGUGGUAUGAACCUUGUUAAAAAACUUAAAAUUAAUGUAGCGCUAGUGUGGAUAGAUAACUCAACGGCCUCAAGCAUAUAAAUGCAAACCUUAUUCUGUUUUACUAUUCGUUAUGCGGUAAGUCGUUUGAUAAACUUAAUCUCUCAUCGAUUACUUGGAUUACUGUAACCAUAAUUUUCAAGUCGUCGACUAGUCGUCUGGUGGGUACUUGCUAGCCAAGUCGACUGGACUACCUGGGGAAUGUUGUUAAGUCGUUGCCUUAGGUCGAUUAGUCGACUAGCCAUACAAAUUUAAUUUUAUUUUGUACUUUAGUUGGCAUAUAACAAGUUUGUUGUCCCUUGACCCACCUUUAAAAAAUUAAUGGACACAGAAUUGCCUAUAAUAAUUUCCAUAAGUACUAAUAUUUUAUUAAUGGGCGGUCAGCUUGUUUUUCUUUUCCUUUUUUUUAAACAAUGGGCAUUUUGCUGCCUUUUAUUUUUUUCCAAUGGACAGUACAAUAUAUUUAUUACAUUAAUGAAUUGUGAAUAGUAAUAUAUUUGUGAGAAUAAUUUUUAUUUAAUGUAAUUGAAAUGAUAUAUAUAUAUAUAUAUAUAUAUAU
rnacentral:lncRNA from 1 species